GAAAAUGCUAACGAUCAGCGUGAAAAAUCAAGCUGGACUGUCCAGACAGCCUCAUCCUACACCUGACAUUGCUUCUUGGUGUUGACUAAAAUCUUACGGUUGUAAUAGAAGCGAGGCUAUUGUGGAAAAAUUUCCAAAAAAUAAUUAAAAUUUUGAAAUUCAAAAACCUAUCCACAAAUUUUAUAUUAUAUCCUUCUCUCCACUAUUAAUCAUUAUCACAAAAAUAUUUCUCUCUCUAAUUUUCUCUUCCCUCUCAUCUCUCUCUUUUAUCUCGAGAUUCUCAACACCAUAACCUCCUCUCCCACCUCAUUCAUCCCUCAUCGGCCACCACUGCCCAAGCGGCCAACAUUGCUGUCUUCACGGUGGUGGAUCUCAAGAUGGCGAUGAUACCAACAUUUGAAUCUAUUCUUUCCCAUGGUGGCAGAUCUCAAUUGUUCGAUAGGUUGUUUUCGAAUAGAUCAAUGUUGCGAUUAGAUAUGAUUCCAUCUCCCUAGCCAGCCGCCGAGUCGAACUCAGGUUUGUGUUGAUUUAUGCUUUUGUACCAGAUUUGUUUAUAAAGUUUGUGAUGUAGAAGCCGAAUGAGAGUUUGUUUUAUUUUAUACUCUUUAUUUGUGAGUUCUAGGCUUUUUUGUUUCAGUCUGGAGGUGGUGGAGGGCAUUUAGUGAUGGCGACAACGAUGGUAGCCUUUUCGAUAUUUUAUUCUCUAGUGCUUGCGUUUUGGAAAUUGAUUCGUGUCAUUAUGUCAUGUAAUGUAUACUUUUAAUCUGUAAAAUAAUGGUCGACAAUGGUAGUAUAUUUCCUUUUGUUUGCUGGAUGGGUGCUCUACACAUACUAUUUGUUUCUGGCUUAUUAUGGGAAGAGGGAAUGUAUUUUUACUUAACCUCGAUUGCUGGAUUAUGGUUGGACUCAUAAAAUCAUCCCAUCUUCGACAUAAUAGCUGCAUGACAGACUCGGUGACAUAACAGUAGGAUAGUACAUUAGUUCGUUCGUGAUAGUGGCAUAACCUACUUAUCUUAGGUGUCACAGGUUCAAAAAUAAUAGAGAUAUUAUGUUUGAUUGACUUUCUUAUUUAUUAGGUCGAUUACAUUAAUGUUGGUAUACAAAUUAGUGGGUUUUUUCACAGAUUUCCCAUAGGAUCUUUGAUGGUUUUACCUCCUACUUCGACGGGUCCCUGGGGGAGUAGCUGGAGGACGCGCCACAUGAUUACUACGAUCGGAUGGAGGGGAUGCGCCACCAGUUUGCAAACCACUACAUGGACUACCACCGCCAGAGAUGAGGUCGUCAUGAUUAGAGACUUCGUUUUAUAGACCUCUACUUUAUUGGUAUCAGACUUUGUAUUAGAGACUCAUUUGUCUUUCUUGUUAUUGUUAUGCAAUCUGCUCGGUUAUUUCAGUUUAAUGGUAUGUCAGACUUCAGAUGUGCUAUUACAUCUUCAAAUAGCACUAAAUGUGUUACCAUUCAAUCAACCUCAUAAUUAACCUCGAAAAAAUUGAAAAAAAAACCUAAGGGGCUGGCACAACACCCGUUUCGGCCAGCACUAGUGCCCGGCCGGCCACUUGUUUUGGCUGGCUACACGCAAUCCGCGAGGGAUGUACUGCCCAAACUAUCUAACUGUAGAAGGAAAAAAUAUUUGGGUUAGAUCUUUACAGUAAAUGGAGGUCAACUGAAACUUGACGAUUGCUUAACAAACCUCUAGGGGGAAGUGUCUUUGUAGGAGUCGAGCUAGUAUCCAAAUGUGUAUCCUUCAAAGGUGUUUAUCGAGUCGAGCUAGUUUUACUCUUUGGAGGAGUGCACUGUGUACUGGCAUGUUCAUGCCAAGAAGGAUUCUGGCCGUCUGCCUUUCUGGCACGAGGUCUAGCUUUAGAAGCAUCAUCAACCUUAGGCUCUUUGAAGCCCUCAAACUCGAGCUGGAAUUACGACCGAACUAAUCUACUAAGCGCUUGAACGGACGGAGCCCCUCUAUCACAAAUCGUCUGAACCAUCACACUUAGGAUGUUACUGUCUGUAUCAUCAUGAUCGUCAAAGAUCUCAUGGCCUAGUGGGUCUGUGUCUUCAAUGAAUGCUAAAACUGAUAGAAGUGGUAUGGUUUCAUCUCCUUCUCGCGUUCCACCAUUGAGUACAUAACACAUGUGCAUGGGAUUCCAUGGGUUGUCUCAACUACACAUUUGCAUGGUGUAAAAUUUGAGGGCUCCUCGGUUAAAGGCUCAAUCGCCCACGCCAAGACUACACUGUUGAGAUACACAAAUGGUUGUCUAUGCGGAUAAUGGUAUACCUAGGUGCAUAAAAAUAAAACAAGUUAUAGAAAUAAUGUAUAUAUAACUAGUUAUUCCCACAUAAUAUAAGUAACUAGUUAUCAAAAUUGAUGUUAAUACCUUUGCGCACAAGUCAUCCAGGCCUUUUGAACCUUAAUGACCUGUCAGUUGAUAGAAGCAUGAUAUCCCUAAAUUAGAGUACCAAUUACCUGAACAUAAGUCUCCGCCUUUUUAUUCUCAACAAGUGCGAAUCUGAUGCUAAAGUUCUUCUGCAUCAGAGUCACGCCAGUCAACUAGAUCACUGGCUUCCUAUACUUGUUGGUGUUGAAGGUUGAGUUAAUUAUAAUCACAUAAUACCAAGCCCCUAACAUCUGAGCACACUCAGGGUGGCUGAGAAAAAGGUUGGAAAGAUUUCCAUCCUUAUCCUAUAUAGACUGAACAAAGUACCCCAGACAUGACACGACUCUCAAUUUCUAAUCCGUCGAACUCAUACCACCUAACUUUUCCUUCCUAAUCUUGUAUGAGUCAUUGUAAAUUUGAUUCAUAUUUUGAUGAGUGUUGAACAUCCUGUUCAGAGCGUACCUGAUCUUAUUCGACUUUGUCUGAGUCGUAGCAAUGUCCAUAAUAUCGCUCUUCUCUUCACUUGUAACGGCAUUGGUUUCUGUGCUAGCUUUAGGGUAUGACAAGAAAAUAUGAUUGUGGUAUCCUUUCGAUUGUGAUGGAUCGUUGGUGUGGCCUACCCAGUCAACCCAGAACUUCCAGUCGCCUUCUACCACACGGCACCUCACUGCUAGUUUGAAGGGGCAGUCACACUUUUUCGUGUUCGACAUCCGUUUUGGUGGGUCAGAACUUGAUGAUUUGCGAGCAGGCCCACAAGAGCAAUAUAGAUACACCCGGUACUCACGCUCUGCCUUCUUUGUAUUGUUGGGUCCUGUAGUCAACUUGAAAUUAAGCGACUAGGCAAUUUGCUUUGCAGCUUCACAAGCUUCCUCCGAAGUAUGGUAAACAUCCUCGGCUAAAAAUCUAUCGGUUUAAUUGAUUUUGUCACCCUUGUUCACCGAUUAAUCUCCAUACAAUAUAAACACGCAAAACGUACGCUACAUUUAUCAAUUAUCUACACAUCUUCGGAUAAGAAUCGCUUAUGUCUCCAACAAAAUUAACGACCACUUACCGAAUUACUCAUGACGAAUUAGUGCAUCCAACGAACAUCUAAACCAUGUCACGAAUGUGAUUACCUAAACAAAAUUAAACGUGAUCAUUAAAAAAUUUAAAAAAUAAAAAUAAACUCGAACCGGUCGGACCAAAAUUCUGGCUGGCGCCGGAUUCUAGCCGCCAAGGAGGCCCAGCCGGUUGGAUGGUCAUUCAGCCAGAAUUUCGGCCUGCCCGGCAAAUAUUUACCGAAUUAUAGAGAAAAAUGUACCUUGAGAGAAUUUUUUGACUGUAAAUUUGGAAAAUGUCAUCUUUACGAAUUCUUGGGCGUCGUUUUAUUAAAAAAACUAGGACAUCAAAUAGUAAUACUCAAAUUUCCAUAUUUGGGGAAAUGAGUAAUAACGAAGCGCAUGUUUGUUUAAGAGAAAUUAGGAGGAAAGUGUACAAAAAAUAUCGAGUUUUUAAGAAAUACUUAUUUUUUUACGUCAAAUGGACUGGUGUUUUACAGAGAUAUUUUUCCUCUGGACCCACGUUUCAUCCAUAAUUUGUCAUUUUGAAAUACAUGGUCUCAAAAAUGUUCUUAGAAAACUAUGAGUUUUCACUCAGUCUUGGUCGAUGUUACUUAUUGUCCUCGGUCUUUCUUCUUCUAUCCCUAACCCAAUCUUCUUCCGCCGUCGAGUCUUCCCCAUCGACUCAGUCUCUGUCCUUUGUGAUUUGCAAGAGGGUGAUGGAAGAUAUUUCUCCCUCCUUGUUAAUUGCUUCACAUGAGACUGGAAUUUGGGUCUUCAAAUUAGAUUUAAAAUAAGGGUUAUUAUAAUCAUUACAUAAUAACCACUAACAAAUUGAAACUUAUAUUUCAAUUCUAAACAUUGUCACCAAAUAAUGUAUGAAGUUCCUCAAUAAUUACACAAUUUUUUAUUCCUCAAUUAUCCAUUUUUACUUCCGCCCACUCUCUAUUACUCCAUACCAAACAAGCCCAAAGAUUAAUUGGCGAGUGAAUUUUUGAAUUCAGGAGUGAAGUCGGUCAGGUGGGUCCCCUACUGCAUUACUAUUCCCCGUGGGUGGGAAAACUCAAAAGUAAAACAUUGCUUUUAAGUCAUAAGAUAAAAUUAAAAUAAAAAAUUUCUACCAACAUAAAAGAAAUUAAAAUUUCAGAUGAAUAUAUAACAUCUCAAAUCUCAUAGAUUUGUUUUAGAGUGAGUGCAUAAUUGGUUACUUUUACAUCCUCAGAGUUAAUGUAUUAUUCCUAUAAAAGUACGUGUAACUCAUAAAUUAUAGUUUUUAUAGUAAUUCUUACCAUUACACGAGUAUGUAUCUUUAGCCAAAGAAACGACUUAUAGAUUUAAUCCAGGACGUCUUAAUAAAUUUUUAUGGUCCAAAAUUUGAUCCAGAAUUUCUUCCCUUAUCUUCUCUUAUCUUCUUCUUCUCCGACAGAAAUCGCUGAAGUCACUCCACCAUUAAAAUCACCAAAGCUUUCAACUUUUUUUUAAAUACACCUCUCCCAUUACAAUUUUGAAGAUUUAUUUUGUAGGAUUUGUGUUGUUGAAUCAUCCUCGUCUUUGAGUUACUACACCAAUUGUUAGAAGUUAAUGCAACUGAUGUUGUACUUACAAUGGACGCGAGAGCGAAUUUGAUGGUAUAUCGAGAGGGGAUUCACAAUAUGAAGACUUGGAAUAAUAAGAAGAUGAUGAUGAAUAAGAAGAAGAAGAAGCAAAACCUUUUCAUCCAGAGACAAACCCACUUGAGGAGGAAGAAGAAAUGACAGAAAUAUAAGGCUUGGUCAAAAAGGACGAAGCAAUUUCGGAGGGGAUGAUGAUGAGAAUGCCAGCAACGACAGAAUCGAAUCACAAAGAAUAUGGAAUCCAAAACGAAGGAGAAGUGAUGUUGAAGAAUGACGUGAUUAUGCAAAAAGAGGAAGAUGCAAAGGACGGAACAGUUGAAGUUGUUGAAAUCCUCAACUUUGAGAAAAUAGAGGACGGUGUAAUUGAAGAGGUAGAUGGCUACAUUGAGGAUAAUGACAUGGAAGACAAGAUCGAAAAUGAGGAAGAUAGUAGCCCCGGUAGCAGCGAAGGACUAGUUGUCGAAACAAAGAAAGAUGAGUUAGAGAUAUGGGGAGGAUAAAAACCUGCUUUGCGGAUUCCAAUGCCUAUUUCUUUGGGUGGAUGUGUUAUUUAUAUUUGGUUAUUAUACUGAACAACUGGUAGUUUCCUGCCUUUGUUAUUUCCCUAAACUUCGUGUUAAAUAAUAAUAGUACAUCAUUUGGUAAAUCAUUACACACUAUGAACACAGUCGUAACACCAUUGUAACACUUAUAUCUUCGUAUAGUGUGAAUUGCAGUUUUUUAAUGUCUAAGACAACAACAUAACACUCUCAUAAUGGGUAUAUACCAGCAAUAUAACAUGGAAUUUAUUACAUGCCAGGUUAGGUGUGUUAGGUGGCCAUUCAUUUAAUGGACGCAGUAACAUUAACUAUCCUUUAAACUGAACACUACCUUCCUGCAUUAAAUGAAGUUAUGUUAGAUGUGUGCUCUUAAUUACUUCACCACCUACUUGACCUUCUUAAUACUCAAUUCAACUCACUUUGUUUACUGCCUCAUACAUUUCUCCCAUUUUACACACCCAUCCUAAUAUACUUUAACGACAUAAACAAUGAGUCUCAACUACACAUUUGUAUGGUGUAACCUCCGAGGGCUCCUCGGUUAAAAGCUCAAUCGCCCACGCUGAAACUGCAUUGUUGAGAUACACAAAUGGUUGUCUAUGCGAAUAACGGUAUACCUAGGUGCAUACAAAUAAAACAGGUUACAGAAACAGUGUAUAUAUAACUAGUUAUUCCCACAUAAUACAAGUAACUAGUUAUCAAAAUUGAUGUUAAUACCUUUGCGCACGAGUCAUCCCAGGCCUUUUGAACCUCAAUGACCUGUCCGUUGAUAGAAGCAUGAUAUCCCUAAAAUAGAGUAUCAAUUACCUGAUUCGAAGAGUUGUACCAAAACUUCAGUGAUGAGUGUUAGGAUUCCACCCUAUUAGUGCUCGUGUUUCCAAUAUGGAUAACCCGAUAUGUGUCGCUAUGGGCCCACUAGGUCAUAUAAGGUAGUCACUGACUCCCUAGGAACGACAUCAAUCCUCUGAUAUUGGCCCAAUCACGAUAGAUCAUGCGUUCCCACUCUUUGUAGAACUCUUCAUCCAAAAGUGCAUUCAACAUUUUAUUCCACGUCCCGUGCAAGAAGGCCUCAACAACUUAUUUCUUCUUCGUGAUCAACUUAAUUUUGGCAGCUAUAUUCCUUUUCAUAUGCCACACGCAAAGUAAGUGUGGUGUUUCAGGAAGACAGUGCACAAUCAGACAGCUAAUCCACGCUCCUUGUCAGUCACAAAUGCCUUCUUUUGCCGCUCACCCAGCAACACUCUCAACUGCUUCAAACCCAAACAUAAGUCUCAACCUUUUUGUUCUCAACACGUGCGAAUCUAUAAGGAGAAACCUCAAGGUUUUGAAAGCGCCGCACAUCAUGUGUACGUCUGCAAGCUCAAGAAAGCACUAUAUGGACUCAAGCAAGCUCGAAGAGCAUGGUAUGGUAAAAUUGCAGAGUUCUGUAUUCAGAAUAACUAUAUGUUGACUCUUGUAGAUUCUAGCUCAUUCAUGAAGAACCAUCAAGGGAAGCUGGCGAAUACUCAUGUACGUUGAUGAACUCAUCAUUACUGGAUAUGAUGAACCAGAAGUUAAUCAAAUUAUAGAAAAUCUACAGGUACGCUUCAAGAUGAAGGAGCUAGAAGUGAUGAGACAUUUUCUUGGACUUGAAGUGGAAAGAAAAAAGGAAGGACUAUUUCAGUGUCAACACAAGUAUACAAAGGAUCUCUUGGAGAAGUAUGGAAUGCUGGAAAGCAAGCUAACAUCUACUCUAAUAGAAGUGAAUGCUAAGCUAUGCCCGACGGAAGGAAAAGACUUAGAAGAUAGAAUAAUGUAUGAACAGCUAGUUGGGAGUCUAAUCUACCUCAUGUUGACAAGGCCAGAGUCAUCAUAUACAGUAACUAUGGUGAGAAGGUUCAUGCAAAAUUCAAAGAAGCAACACUUGGACGAGCCUAGCAGAUUCUCCGUAUGUGAAAGGUACAAAUGAUUUCGGUAUAUUUUACAAGAAAUGUGAAAAGGAGAAUUAGCAUGAUAUUGUGAUGUCGACUAUGUUGGAGAUCUUGUUAUGAGAAAAUCAACAGCUGGAUACAUAUUCACUAUCGGAUCAAGACCCAUUCCGUCGUGUAGUAAACGACAAACUACAGCUGCACUAUCAACUACUGAAGUGGAGUACAAAGCGUUAGCGAUGACAGUCCAAGAAGUUGCACUAUGUGGCUUAUACAAUUCUUAGAAGUUUGGUACAACAAGUGAGCUACUCAGUACCAGUAUAUUAUGAUAAUCAAUCAGCAAUGCGAUUGGCGGAGAAUCCUGCCUUUCAUGCCAUUACGAAGCAUGUGGAGGUAUUCAAUAUCAUUUUUUAGAGAAAAGGUACUUCAUGGACUCAUUGACAUGAAGUAUGUCAAUAAUCAAAAUCAACUAGCAGAUAUCUUCACGAAGGGCUCAACAGACUAAGGCUACAAGAACUCACAAGAUAAAUGGGCAUGAUAAAAAGAUUAAAUAUAUUUUGCCGGAGAGUGUUAAUAGUAAAAAUCAAAACAUAUUUGAUUAAAAUAAUUGAAGAUAUUAUAUAAAGUAUGAAGAUUUUUAAGGAGAGAUUUCUAGAAAAUAAAAGAGAAGAAAAUGAAGAAUUGUCUAGACAUAUGGAGAAAGAAGAGAAGGGAAAAUGUGUAGAGAAGAAUAAGGAAUCGUAGAUAUUUUGGUUGAAAUGUCCGUUAAAGUGUAGUAGAAAUAGGAGGAAGUUGUUUGCUUUGAGAGUGUAAGAGUUGAGAAAGAAAUGAAAGAGUAUAAGACUUGAGAGAAAGGUUUCUGUCUUGCGAAAGUGAAGAGAAGAGAGAAGAGAGAAGAGAGUGUAUUGAGUACGGUGAUGUGCAUUGUAAUACUGUGAGCUAUUAGAAGUGAUCCCUCCCUUCAAGCUGGGAAUUUCAACUAUAUUCUGAAGUCAAUCAUUACUCUGAAGUUAAUCUUUGACUUUGUUAUCAUUUUGAGAAAAUAGAGAGGAAAGAGAUGAGAAGCGGAUUUUUUGAAUUCCAGAAAAACAAAACUAAUCGUGUUUUAGUUUAGAUUUUGGACAUCUACUUCACCAAGUCAAAAAAGAAGAGUUAGUCUGUUUCUGUAAAUAAUAAAGUGCAUGUAAAGAAAAGAGCACGAGAAGAACAAUCACAACACAUGAUUUAACGAAGUUUUGCCAAUGUCAACCCGAUUUUAUCGUCAAUUUUCACUCAGAGGUUUCCCUUUAAGAGUCUUGAAAGUUCUUUUAGAUUAAUACCACUUAAGGAAUACUAGUAUAGAAUCAAUAAACCAACCUGAGUGAAGGUCCCUACAACACCCUAGUUCCCCGCUACGUUACUUGAUCUAUAAACUUGAAUAUCCUAACCAAACUACUCAAUACUUGCUAGCUCCCUUGUAACUCGUAUUUUUUGCUGAUAUUCUCUUAAUCUAAGAUCUUUGCCUUAGCCGAGUUUUUUUUAUAGGUAUUUAUAGGGUUUUGGGACGUUUUGUGAAAGAGCCAACUUCCAUAUCUUAUACUUGCAAGUUGCAUGAGAUAAAUGUAAAGGAUUAGUAUAAGAUAAUUUACAAAAAAACCCGUAUUUCCUUAGACUAUCUAUUUCGAUCUUUAUCUCAUUCUUUAAUUAAAUCAGUUUUUUUAAUGAUACUUCAUUUAUUCCCGACUUAUAUUGAAUAUAACCUAACAAUCUUCUCUUAAGUCUGAAAAUGUCUCAUCUUUGUUGAUUGAGAGUUUAUCUCUGUUGAUAGUCCGGAAAAAUGAUCGAAGACGGAUUAGAGAUAUAAGAGAUAAAAGUUUUGAGCUUGCAGAAGCUCCCCUCAAUGACUGCAGGAUGUCUGAAUAAGAACGCUUAAGAACUGUAAGAUGCCCGAAUAGAAGAAAUUUAAAGAUGAUCAAAGUAGUAGAAUACUGUUGAAUAUCGACCAAAAGAAAAGAUAAGAUUGACACAAUCGAUAACUUUUAUUUCAUAAGAACCAGAGCAACUUCAAUUAAAAAAAACAAUAGCAGACUAACAGAUGCUAGAGCAUAAAGGAGAAAUAGUCUUUGAUAAAACUAAGACACGAAAGACAAUGGAAGACAUUUCAAACAAACACACUUGAAACAAACACACUUGAAACAAACACAUUCUAGCUAAUAGAGAACUUCAUCCUGAGCUGGUUGAGAUCUUCAUCCUGAGCAUCUUGACCAUUCCAAAUAUUCAGGCGAUUCCAAUCUUCAUCAGCAAGGUCAUCAAUACUGACCGAUCCUCCUCAUCAACAAAGAGCCUAAGAUGCAGGAAGAGAAGCAUAAAGAGACACAACAAGGUACUUAUGGUGGAGACGAAUCCUUAGAUUUUUCAGAAGAAGCGAGAUCUCAGGACCGAGCAGAUGGGCUCCAGUAACAUUGGGGCUACUAAAGUGAACCAUGUAUGCAAACAUCAACCGAGAGAAAUCCGUACGCUGAUUCUUUGAGGCGCAGUGCAUGACCCAGAGAUCCAUAGGAAUCACCAGAUGUCGCGCUUCAGAGCAAGAAAGAAACACGCGAGUAAUAAAAUAGUGCAGAAUCCUAAGGUUCGAAGGAAAUUCGAAAACAGGAGCGAGAUAGGAGCCAGAAGGAAGCUGCAUCCAGAGAGAGAUGGCUUCAGAGGGACUAAAUGAGUACCUGAGGAAAUUGACUUCGGAAAACACAACGGGACCCUCACAGGGAAGGCAUAGAUUCAGAGGAAGCACCUCAUGCGAUAUGAAGAGGAUGUGGCCAUCCACAUAGGUGCUGAAGCACCCUUGAGCAAGGCGGCAAUGAAGCUAUAAAUUCACAUAGAAUUGAGCCACUGCAGCUAGGAAGAACAUACAACGACGGUGAAGCACAAGGGAACUCCAUCCAAGAUUGCAAAUCAAGGAGGACACGUUAUAUAUUGACCAAACUCAACAUGAUUGACUUGGAGACGGGUGAGGAUAGGGCGAGGCGAGAAGAACUUCGCAUCCAUGGCAUGGUGGGUGGAGGAUCUCAUAAGGUCAUUAGUAUAUUGGCAUAGGUACUGCUACGAGAACCAAUAUAAGGAUUGAAGAAGCUCAUGUUUGAGGGACAGCUAGGGUUAGGAAGACAGAAAGACAAGAAAAGCCACAUACACAGUCAAGUAAUAUAUAGCAACAAACAAAACAGGAAGAAGCAAUCGGGCAUGAUUACUCCCCUACAAGUCAGGAAAAAUUAUAGACGCUCCACAAGGGAGCUAAUGUCGGUUUGGGACAGAAUUCCCUAGGACUUUCAGAGAAAAAUAAAACGAUCAACAAGAAGGGUUUUUGUAAAAGUAUCCACAAGUUGAAAGUCAGUUUCAAUGAAGACUAGUUCAACCUCCUUAUUAACCACUAUAUAAGAGAUAAAAUGAUGACGAAUAGAAAUAUCUAGCUUCUCUAAGUUUGAAAACAUGAUCAAGAAAAUUAUAAUCCUCGGAACCUGAAGGUUGAGACACAUACACUUCUUCAGUCAAAUCUUCGUUUAAAAAGGCACUUUUGACAUCUAUUUGAAAAAGUUUGAAUUUUUAAGACUUGCAAAAGCACUCAGCAACCAAAUUGCUUAUAGUCUAGCAACAGGGACAAAGGUUUCAUCAAAGUCUAUGCCUUCUUCUUGAUUGUAACAUUGAGCAACUAAUCUAGCCUUAAUUCUGACUAUAUUAUCGUCUCCAUCAGAUUUGUUUCUAAAAAACCCAUUUAGUUCCUAUGAUAGCUCUGUUAAUGGGAUGAGGGACAAGAUACUAAAUAUGGAUACGAUAAAACUUGACCAUUUCCUCAGUAAUAGCAUAGUUCUAGUUAGGAUCAAGAAGAGCUUCUUUAGCAUUUCUAGGAACAAUCAAAGAAAAAAACCAGAGUGGGUUUUGGAACGAGUUACCACUCGAGAUGAAGGGUCACCGAUAAUCUGAGAAGAUGAUGGAUGUCUCUUGCAUAUGUGUUGUGGGGCUUGAUCAUUACUUCGAUUAUUAUUUUCGUCGUUGGUCACCACAUUGUUGAUCUAGUCUUCCAGAAUAUUCUCUGUUUCACUCGAGGCACUGUCUAUAGCUUCUUUAUCUUGUUGAGAUGUACUUUCACUGAUUUCAUAUGAAGGUAUGAGAGAAGUAUCUUUCGUGUUAGUUUCUAAAGAUGGAACCGUUUGUGGUAUCAACUCAAAGUCAGCUUCAUCAAUAUCCUGCAGAAUCACAUCCUCACAAGGAGAUUCAUCAAAUAUCACAUUAAUUGAUUCCUCGACUUUCAAGCUUUGUUUGUUGAACACACGACAAGCUCUAUUGUUGUCAGAGUAACCGAGCAAAAAACCUUCAUAUGAUUUUGAAUCAAAUUUACCAAGGUGAUCCUUGGUGUUGAGAAUAAAGCAUUUGCAACCAAAAAGGCAAAAAAACCUAUAUGGGAUUUCCUUUUUUUCCACAACUCAUAAGGGAUUUUGUUAAUUUUCGAUCUUAUGAUAGCACAAUUUUUUACAUAGCAUGUGGUGUUAAAAGCUUCUCCCCAAAACAUAAAACUAUACCAAAAUCAUUCAACAUAGUUCUAGCUACCUCUACUAGAGUAUUAUUUUUCAUUCAACUAUUCAAUUUUGCUGAGUUCUCAGAGUAGACAAGUGAUGGAUACUGCCGAAACUUUCAUAGAAUUCUCCUCUAUUAUUACUAGGAAUUCUAAUAAUGCAGAGUUGCUUUUCAUUUUGAACCAUCUUAAAUUUUUUUUUGAAUUUUUCAAACAUUUCAUCNNNNNNNNNNNNNNNNNNNNNNNNNNNNNNNNNNNNNNNNNNNNNNNNNNNNNNNCCUUAGCACAAGCAUUAUAGAAGAAUUCUUUGGCAUAAUUUAAUUUGGGUAACCCUUUGACUAAAUUAAGAUUGCUAAGACGAGCUAGGUCACCAAAGCAAACACGACCUAGUUUGUGAUGCCAAACAAGCUUAUGACUUCUUUUCUAGUGAUUAAGCACAUGUGAUUAAUGUCUUCAACUAGAUCAAGGUUGAUUAAAUAGAUGUUCCCUCUUUUUUCUUUAGUAAAGAGGACCUUAUCCUUUGAGAUUUGUUUUAGAAAGCAAAAAUGGACUUGAAAGUAACAUAAGUUAAAUUUAAGACCUUCUACGAAAUAAACCUUAUUAAGAAAAACUUUAUCUUUCAACCCUAUUUUUCGAAUGCCUAAAAUUUUGCAAGUUCUUUUAUCACUAAAAUGAACACUGCCUUUAUUUAUGAAUUGUUAAUCAUAAAACAUAGAUAUGGUGCCUGUCAUGUAAUGUGAACAUCUGAUAUCGAGUAUCCACUCAUUGUUAACACUAGCCCAAUAACAGACCUACAACAAAAAUAGUCAUUUCUGCUUUGGACCCAGAUUGGUGCCUUGUUUUUUAAAUCUUCACAGGUUAAUUAUUUAUGUAGUUAAAUGGGAUAUAGUUUCUGAAUCGUAGAUAANNNNNNNNNNNNNNNNNNNNNNNNNNNNNNNNNNNNNNNNNNNNNNNNNNNNNNNNNNNUCGUAGAUAACAUAAUCUCUGAUAUCAAUAUAUCUAGGCAUGGGUAGACUUUUUCUAUAGUAAGGCCAACGUCUUAGCUUAUUAAUAAAAAUACGAUUCUGAUAAUGAAUAUUUCGUAAGUUCAAUUUAACAUUGCUAGUAUUCAUGUCAGAAUGAGUCAGUCUUAAAUCAUAUUCAUUUUUUAUAUUGGUUACCUUAGCCAGUUUAUUUUUUAAGUUCUGAAUAUAACUUCUGAUCUCCUAUUACUUCUUUCAGAGUCUCAUCAAUUCUCAUUCGAAGAGUUUCUUCAUACUUAUGUUUGGAGUUAUCAUACUGACAAGCAUCAGAGUCGGAUAUAUCAAAGUUAGAGUCUGUGUGAACCUCUGUUUUGAAAAGUUGAAUGUUCACUGUCUUUUUGUUUCUCAAAUUCAUCCUCUUUGUCUUCAUCAGUGUUUGUUAUGGUCAUUAAUCGUAUCUUAGAUGCUUCAGAUUCUUCAUCAUCUUCACUGGCAUUCCAAGUGGCAUGGUAUGCUCUUUCUCUCUUCACCAAGGGGCAAUCAGCUUUAAUGUGUCCAACCCUGCCACAUCGAAAACAACCAGCAAACAAGCUUCCAGGUAUAGAGCUGGAAUUAGCAUAUUUUCUGUCUUUAAACCCUGACUUAAUUGGGUUUUGAGGUUGUUUAGCCUCACUUGUGUGAUUUUUAUCAUGGUACUGAUUUUAAACUUAUCUUUCCUUAAUUUAAUUAGUCUGCUAACUUGUUUUGAGAGAAGAUCUAGAGCAUCACCAUUAUAAUCAUCUAUAUCAUUUGGUUUUCUAGAGAAGUUUUGAAAGCAACUGAUUUCUUGAUGACAGGUACAUCCACAACAUCUUCUUUAUUUAAAAUCUCUUUACGUAUUAGAAAUUUUCCAUUAAUUCAUCUAGAUCGAUAGUAUCUAAUUUGAUAACUUCUUCAAUUGAAGUUACCUUGGGCAUCCAACACCAUAGCAGCUUUCUAGCAACAUCUUACAUAUCAUAAACCUUUCCUAACCCAGCAAGUUUAUUGACGAUGUUUUAAAAACGAUUACCUACUUCUUUGAUGGUUUCUCCAAAAAUUAUUUUGAACAUUUCAAAAUCUUGUUUUAGCAUGUUUAUCUAUGAAGUUUUAACAAUAUUUGUUCCUUCAUUAGUUAUAACCAAGUUAUCCCAAAUUUCUUUGCAACUGGAAAAAUUCUAUUGAACUCCUCGUUUUCUAAAGCACAAUAUAUAAAUAUUAGUAGCUUGAAAAUUGAAUUGUACCACUUUCACAUCUUCGUCAGACCAUUUGCCUGGGGAGGCUUUCACUUUCUUGGGUUUGUUGGUGAUAAUGAUCCACAGCUGGGGAUUGGUUGAUUUAAUAAACAGCUUCAUUCGGUUCUUCCAAUCAUCAACAUGGAGCUAUUCAAACCUUGGAGGUCGAUUUUUUGAAAACCAUCUUCGAGAAAACAGAUUUGUCAAGUGGUCUAAUUCAUAGUCGGAAAAACGAAGGAAACAAAAGAGAUGGGGUCUGAGACUACCUGAGAUCUUUACUAGUCGAAUCGUUGAGAUUACAGUUAGUGCACCAUUAUGAUACCACUUCUUAGAAGUGACCCCUCUCUUCAAGCUGGGAAUUUCGACUAUGCUCUAAGGUUAAUCGUUGACCUAGCUAUUAGUCGGAGAGAAGAGAGAGAAAGGAGAUCAGAAGCCAAUUUUCUAAUUUCCAAAAAAAACAAGACUAAUCGCGUUUUAAUUUAGAUUUUGGGCAUGCGAAUAUAUUUAGUGAUGGAUAAAAUGAAUUGAACCAAUCUAGAAGCAGUCUUCUUCUUCACCAACUCAGAAGAGAAGAGUUGAUCUGUUUUUGUAAAUAAUAAAGUACAGGCAAAGAACAGAGUACGAGCAGAGCAAUCAUAACAUAGGAUUUAACAAGGUUCCGCCAAAAUCAACCGACUUUGUUGUCAAUCCUCGCUCAUAGGUUUUCCUCUAUGAGUCUUGAAAGUUCUUUUAGAUUAAUACCACUUAAGCAGUACAAGUACAGAAUCAAUAAACCAACUCGAGUAAAGCUCCCUGCAACACCUUAGCUCCCUACUACGUUACUUGAUCUGUAAACUUGAAUAUCUACCUAGUACUUGCUAGCUCCCUGAUAACUCAUACUUUUUUCCGGUAUUCUCUUAAUCUAAAAUCUCUACCGUAGUCGAGUUUCUUUGAUAUGUAUUUAUACGGUGUUGGGAAGUUUUGUGAAAGAGCCAACUUUCAUAUCUUGUACCUGCAAGUUGCAUGAGAUAAAUGCAAAGGAUUAUUAUAAGUCAAUUUUCUAAAAGCAUGUAUUCCCUUAGACUACCUAAUUCGUUCUUUAUCUCAUUCUUUAAUUAAAUCAAUUUUCUUAAUUAUAGUUUAUUUAUUCCGGACUUAUAUUGAAUAUAAUCCAACAUAAGCUUUCAUAAAUUAUAAAAUAGUCAUUCAAGUUAUAAAGUGUGCAUUUUAGUCCAUCAAAUUCAAUAUGUUUUACUUUAACUAUACAGUGACAUUAAUUCUUCAGUUCUCCCUUUCAUAUUGUGCUUGCCAUCCAUUUACUUCGUAAGGAAGAGACAAUGGGUUGAAAGGAUCGGAUAGGCCUCAGCCUCCACUACGAAGCCAAGUUCUAUACCGUUUUAUUACAUAAUGACAAGGAUACUUGGGGUAUAGGAUAAUUAUAUAAGGGAGGAGGUCAUGUCUAAUUUGGCUCCUCAUGAGACUUGAACAUUCAUGUGUUUGUGAUUUUGAAUAAGUGGAUGAAUCAUUAAGAUGUAACCUACAUGUCGGAUAUGUUGUUUUCAUACUGAAAUCAUGUAAGUCCUUAGUGAAACUGUCAUUGUUGUAACUUUACUGGUGCUUUAAUGCAAACCCACUAACUGCUAAUUGGUCUAAGUAUUUUGCCCCUUUUAGGUGGACCGUGUAAGCACUUUUAUGUCUUUGCGCAAUCAACUUCCACAUGAAAGAGAAUAUAUUUCUUGAUAGGAUCGACUGCAGAUUAAAGAACAAUUAAAGUGAACAUCCUUUACAUAGAAUGAAGGAACAAAACAGUCCUUAUAAGCAAGAUAAGAACACAUCAUAGAACUAAGGAACCAACAACACCAUUACAAUACCAACUAAGAAAUGCAUCAGAAACCAUGCUCAAUAAACUGAUGUGUUCUUUUCUUCAGUGGAUAAUACACCUUCACCAAAACAUCCAACUCUUUAUCUAGGUAAAGUGUAUAAUUUUUGUCCACCAUAAUAAAAAUACAUUAUUAGAUGCAUAAUAAAAUAUCAUUAAAAGCUAUCGACAAACAGAAUACAAACACUUUAAAACAUGAAAAAAUAAUGUCCAAACUAUUGAAUACAACUUGAUCUGUUUAUUGUUGAAGCUAUUCAGUCUCGCCAAAGAUCUUUGCACGUAAAGUGUACUCUUCAAACGAUUCACCUUGUUAUUGAAGCAUCAUAUUUCAUCCCUCAGCUCUGCAUUUUUAAGUAUAAGUGCGCAGUACACCUCUACGAAAUCAUCCUCGCCACUAUAUACAAAAAUCACAGCCCUUAUGCCUUAGCUAGUUAGCUUACACAUAAGAUAAUACCCACGCACUUCUAAUUCACAUGAAAUGUAGCUGAAAAACCAUAUUCGCAUAUAAAAGUCACACUCAUGUUGAAAAUUAGAAGUGAGAAGGGUCUGCAGUUGAAGAAAAGUUCAAAUGGAAGAAGAUUGUGAAUUUUAUAGAACACCUAAGCUUUGUUUCUCAUUCAAGAAAACUCUACAUAAAUUUUGGGUAAGUUUUUGGAAAUUAAUUUCAAUUUUAGUUUUUAUUUUAUUUUUCAUUUCCCGUGACUCCGAGUAGCGUCUUCAUCUUAACGAACACAUCAUGCUUCAGGGGCUUCAUGAAAAUAUCUGCAAUUCGAUCUUCCGUCUACACAUACUUCAGCGUCACUUCUUUCUACUCCACUCACUCUCUUAAGAAAUGAAAUCUUUUAUCUAUAUGCUUACUACAAUCACGAAACACCGGAUUCUUUACAAGAGCUAAUGCAAACUUGUUGGCAAUCAUAAUCUCCGUGGAAUUUGCUUGUUCCAUCUUUACUUCCUCAGUAAUCUUCUGAGCCAUAUUGCAUGGCAUGCACAUGAUGUAGCUACAUAUUCAGCUUCACAACUAGACAAGGUCACAAUAGCUUGCUUCUUCGAACUCCAUGCAAAAGCUAUAUCAUCAAGAAAGAAUACGAAUCUGGUAGUGCUUUUUCUAUCAUCCACUUCUCCUGACCAGUCACUAUCACAAUAUCCAACCAAUCUGAAAUCAUCAGUGUUUUUAUAGAAUAGACCGUAGUCAAUUAUACCUUUGAUGCAGCGCAAAAUCCUUUUUGUUGCAUUCGAGUGUGACAUGGUAGGAGAUUCCAUGUAACAACUAACUAACCCAACUGUCUAUAGUAUGUCCGGUCUCGUAUAAGUGAGAUAUCUAAGGCUUCCAAUUAAGCUUCAAAACUUCGUUGGGUCGACCUUCUCUUCGUUGUCAUCUGUUGAUAAUUUGAGUCCAAUUUCAGCUGGUGUAUUCACCGGAUUGCAACUCUCCAUCUUGAACUUCUUGGAAUAUCUUGAGCAAAUCCGCUUUGUGAGAUAAAUAUGCCUUCUUCCUUUUGUGAAACUUCAAUUCCAAGAUAGUAUGACAUUAAGCCAAUGUUUGUCAUCUCAAACUCACGCUCUCUCGCCUUCUUGAAUUCUUCAAACAUUUUGGGGUCGUUUCUUGUAAGAUUAGAUCAUCGACAUAUAAAAUCACCAAUAAGAUAGCUCCAUUUUACCCCGUUUUCAAAUACCCACUAGAUUGAUCUAAAGGAAUCGUUUAUUUCCCUAUGGUCUUUCUAAUUCUAUUACUCAAAUUGAUUAACUAACUAGACCACGUAGCAGUUUGUGAUUGUUUUUAUGAAUGUUUUAAGUAACCAAUUAAUGUCUAAGAAUGCAAAUGAAAGAAAAACAAAUUCAAGAGGUUGAAUUUCAAAUAGGAAUGAAGGUUGCUCGGGUUCGAAUCCACUAAAUCUAGCAAUGCAUGGAUGAAUGUCAAGUUAUCUCGGUUAUUCAGAUUAUAAUGGCUUGGCAAUAUCCUAAUGUAGUCUUUGAUGAAAUGCCACAACGAUAAACGUGCAAAAAGCCUAAAUGAUUCGCUCCUCUCUCGGGCUAACGAAUAAUCUAGGGUUCUUCCUAAGCGACCUAUCAACUUAUGUUAAUAUGUUAAUAUUCUAGCUCUAUGGUCUCUCUGGAACUCUAGCUCUCUCCAAGAGCUCGAAUAAUAUGUUAAUAUUCAGUAUAUGGAACCCUCGCUCUCUCCAAGAGCUCGAAAAAUAUGUGUAUAAGGAAGUAUAUCUCGUCCAUAGGGGUCUCGGGGAUAUUUAUAGGCUUCUGGACCAAGUUGGAGAAGGAAAAGGACUUGGAAACCCGUCUGGGGGUGGGACACGACAUGCUGCAUAUGGAACACGCCGUGUUCUAGGAACACGGCCGUUUUCCUGGCCGUGUUCGGCCCCUGUAACUUUCUUGGGCAAUUUCAGUGGAGGAAUACAUCGUGUUCCAUUUCGAACGUGGUGAUCCUUCAUUAUAUGUAAUUUUAUCAUACUGUCAACAUAACAGUUGUAGAUAAUCGAAUUACCUUUCCAACACCGCUGACCUUGCAUCAAUUGGACUUCGGAGCGAUGAGUUAUUCUCAAAAUACUAAACAGUUACGCUUUCUACCCAAGUCGAGCGCUUUGAGUUGUUCCGGCCACCCCGUCAUGUCUUGGUUUAUCUCUAAACAUCAUAUGACACUUGAAAUGUACUAAAAAUACCAAACACCAUAAUACGGCCCUGAGGGGCAAGAGAUACAAACAUAUACUCAAAAUCCGAAUUUGAAUACAUUUCGGCACACAAAAAUAUAGUUUAUAACGAGAAAAGUUGUGUCAAAAAUACAUCACAUCAAAUCACCCCACACUUAAACGCUUUCUUGUCCUCAAGUAAAUCCACUAAUCGCUCUUUAUACAAAACCUAACAUAUGGUGAUCAGAAGACAAAGCUCAGGUCCUUAAUUCUAUCAUAGUGUUCAGGAAUACAAGUCAAUCAACAAACCACACAAUUAGGCAUGAGACACCGAAUCCCUUGAAUUAGUAUAAGAUAGACUCAUACAUAUGAUACAAAUGAUUUGGCACCUAUCCACUGGAAUGUAUCCAUAUCCCCCAAACACUUAUACCUUCUAGUUGCUANNNNNNNNNNNNNNNNNNNNNNNNNNNNNNNNNNNNNNNNNNNNNNNNNNNNNNNNNNNNNNNNNNNNNNNNNNNCCGUCCUGCGGGCGGCGGUGCUUCAAUUUUUAAUAGCACUCAAGUUAUGCUAGCACCUCCCUCUUAUUUUGAGUUUGUUACUGAAAACAAAGCUUGAAUAUUUCAAUGUUGCUUUUCGUUUCUUUCUUUGUUUUUCUUUCUUUAUGGGUCUUUUAGAUAGCGGCUUUUUCCAAAUGGGGGAAUUAAUCACAACUUCAGUCGGACUGGGAAGUAACCAGUCUCCGGCGCACGCCCCAAGCCUAAAAAUGGUAGGGAAGACGGCAAACCACUAGGGUCGCCCUACGUGUUUCNNNNNNNNNNNNNNCCGUCCUGCGGGCGGCGGUGCUUCAAUUUUUAAUAGCACUCAAGUUAUGCUAGCACCUCCCUCUUAUUUUGAGUUUGUUACUGAAAACAAAGCUUGAAUAUUUCAAUGUUGCUUUUCGUUUCUUUCUUUGUUUUUCUUUCUUUAUGGGUCUUUUAGAUAGCGGCUUUUUCCAAAUGGGGGAAUUAAUCACAACUUCAGCCGGACUCGGUAGUAACCAGUCUCCGGCCCAUGCCCCAAGCCUCAUAAAGGUAGGGAAGACGACAAACCUCUAGGGUCGCCCUGUGUGUUUCGAUUGUAACCAAACCCCCCACGAAAUUUUUUACUUAGCAACCUCAUUUCGUUUUCUCCCGCCUGUUUUAACCUUCAUAACAACCUAGGAAAAUUCGUUGGGCGGAUACACAUACACUCUACUACGAGUUAGAACAAAACAGUGGAAGGUAACAAUUCAGUUUUAACAUAUAUAUGAGUCUCUAGUUUACUAAUUUUGGCAACGCGGCAGGUGAUUCGAAAAUUAUAUCCUCACAUCCAAGACAUCCACAAAUAGAAUGAGAACACUAAACGUGCGUUCCCUAACAUCCACAAACUAAGCUCAAGAGGGAGUUUCAAAAAUUAAAGACAGCCAUUCAUCAAUAUUACUACAAGUUAUGUACCCAUCAAUUAAGAAGCACCUUAAUUCACCCACACUUAAACAUGACAUUGUCUUCAAUGGACCAAACAAUCAAGUGAGAUAGGGCCAGAAAAUAUGGUACUAACUUGGGGAUCGUGAUAGUGAGCACAUGUAGAGUUUGGACGAGGACAAAGGCUCCAUUCAGUCGGCGCAUGAGAUUAAGACAUCAUCUGGAUAGGAUUAGAGUUCUAUAGCCACAGAGAAAUAAAAGAAAUAAGAGAGGAUAGGCUAGUGCCAAUCUGUUACAUCAACCCAUAAGAAAUAAAUGAAAACAAAACAAACUCAUAAUAUUUCAACAACAUGACAUAAGUAAAAACAAAUAAAAGAGAAAGACUCAACACUCGGGUUGCCUCCCGAGAAGCGAUCUUUCCUUUACGUCUUUGAGCUAGACGAUACCUGGAUUAAGCCGCCCAACUUAGAACCUCCUUGAAUUCCAUUAGUUUCUUCAAGUAUUGGAGUUGAAUGCCAAGUAGCACCCUCAUAGAUGGAUGGAGAAGUCGGGGAAGUGGUUGUGAGCUCCAGUUUGUGCCUUUAAGUGGAAAUCUCUUCUUGUUCUCUACUGCUUGAGGAGGGGAGAGGUAGUAUGGUGCGUCAACACUGGUAUCCUCAACUAUCCCUGAUUUGAUAGUGUAGCUUGAGAAGUCCUCUAGGGAAGGCAGGUUUGGUCCCAAGAGAGUGUCCUCUCGAAUCUUGUUUGUGAAGCACUCAUUACCAGUUUCCUGACAUAAGUCAUAAUCAAACAAGAAUCAAGAAGAGUAUCGGUUUCUCUUGGUGGGACAAGAAUAGGAGGGGGAUGCCAAAUAAUGAAAUGCUCAACGGUAGCUUGAAUGUCAUAAUGGAGAGGCUCUUCAUCUUUCCACACCUCUUCCACAAACUUUUCAUCAUCUUCUUCUUCAAAUUUUCCAAACUCCUCAUCAUGGAAAAUUAGGUUGUAUUCUAGGAAGGGUACUUCCUCCCUUUCAAACUCUUCUAACUUGUCAUCCUGGACAACUAGAUUAUCUUCAAAUAAAGAUAACUUUUCCACCACUACUUCAGCUGAUAUUUCCAUAUCUAUUCAUCUUCAUUCUCAACCUCUUCUUGUGGUUGAGGAUGCAAAUCUUGUUCAUCAAGGGGUGCCCUUAGCUGAUCUACCAUUUUUGAGAGUUUGUUUAGUUUUAUCAUAUUCUCGUUCUGAUUGGCUAUGACUUUCUCCAAAAGCUCAUAUAUGUAUGUAUACUCAGGAGGCGGACGUUGAUAUGAUUCAAGCCCUGAAUAUUGAUUUUGAAAGUGUGUACCGUCUUCAUGGUAGUUUUGGUGGUAGAAAUGUGGUGACGAGUCUUGGAAAAAAGAUGAUGGUGAUUGGUCACGAGUCUUGGAAAAAAGAUGAUGGUGAUUGGUCUUGAUUCCAAUUGAAAUCUGAUUCCUCUCCAAAGUUGUUCCAUUAUUGUUGUCCUCCUCCAUAGUUAGGCUGGUAGUAGCUUGGUGAACCUUAGUUCUCAUAAUAUUGGUUGGGUGAAGAACCCCAAUUUUCAUUAUAGUUAUCAUCCACAUAGGAACCUUGCCACUGUCCUUCCCAAUUGUAAUCCUUCAUAAAGGAACUCAAAAGAAACAACCCCGGUAAACUACGUGGGAGGAAAUAGAUCUGACAAGAUGAAUGAAGGAAUAGAUAACAAUCAAAAAUUUCAUAGAAAUAGAAAAGUUCCCCGGCAACGGCACCAAUUUGAUGGGCGGAUUUUACCCCAGUUUCAAAUACCCACUAGAUUGCUCUAAUGGAAUCGUUUAUUUCCCUAUGGUCUUUCUAGUUCUAUUGCUCAAAUUGAUUAACUACCUAGACCAAGUAGCAGUUUGUGAUUGUUUUUAUGAAUGUCUUAAGUAACCAAUUAAUGUCUAAGAAUGCAAAUGAAAGGAAAAAAAAUUUAAGAGGUUGAGUUUCAAAUAGGAAUGAAGGUUGCUCGGAUAGAAUCCACUAAAGCUAGCAAUGCAUGGAUGAAUGUCAAGUUAUCUUAGUUAUUCAGGUUAAAAUGGCUUGGCAAUUUCCUAAUGUAGUCUUAGAUCACUCUCAUGCCUCUAGGGAUCUAUUUCGCCUAACUAUAGACUCCUCUCUCGAGCUAAUCCACACCUAAACAAAAUGCAUUAAUAAUGUUUGAUGAAAUGCCACAACGAUAAACAUGCAAAAACGCUAAACGAUUCGCUCCUCUCUCGAGCUAAUGAAUAAUCUAGGGUUCUUCCUAAGCGACCUAUCAACUUAUGUUCCUCUCGGAUCCACAAAUCAAUGCCGAUGAUUCAAUCAAGACGGCCAGACAAAAUUGAAUCAGAAAUUAGGUUUUAGGAAGAAUGCAUUAUAAGUCUGAAUAAACUUCAAUAAAAAAUCAAAUCGUCCAUACAAAAGCUUAGCUAAAGCUUCAUCUCGUCCGAACAACACAAAAGGGUUAGCCGCUCAUGGUUUCGGAAAAUAAAUCAGAAGAGAAGAGAAGAAAAACCAAAGAAGAUGAUAUGUUCUUCGUGGAAAUCUCAAUCUUCGACUUGAUGAUUUGCCCUUCGCCAAUUGUGGUUGAUCCUCUCACUUCAAUCGUCUAUCUGGAACUCUAGCUCUCUCUAAGGGCUCAAAAAAAUGUUUAUAUUCAGUAUAUGGAACCCUCACUCUCUCCAAGAGCUCGAAAAAUAUGUGUAUAAUGAAGUAUAUCUCGUCCAUAGGGGUCUUGAGGGUAUUUAUAGGCUUCUAGCCCAAGUUGGAGAAGGAAAAGUACUUGAAAACCCAUCUGGGAUGGGACACGGCAUGCUCCAUAUGGAACACGCCAUGUUCUAGGAACACGACCGUGUUCCUGGCCGUGUUCGGCUCCUGUAACUUUCUCGGGAAAUUUCAGAAGAGGAACACGCCGUGUUCCUUCAUUCUACUGAAUUUUACCAUAGUGUCACAAUAAAAGUUGUAGAAAAUCGAAUUAUCUUUCUAACUCCGCUGACCUUGCAUCAAUUGGACUUUGGAGUGAUGAGUUAUGCUCAAAAUACUAAACAGUGACGCUUUCUACCCAAGUCGAACGCUUUGAGUUGUUCCGGCCUCCCCGUCAUGUCUUGGUUUAUCUCUAAACGUCAUAUGAAACCUCGAAUGUAUCAAAAACAUACCAAACACUAUAAUAUGGCCUCGAGGGGCAAGAGAUACAAACAUGUACUUAAAACCUAAAUUUGAAUACAUUUCGACACACAAAAGUAUAGUUUAUAACGAGAAAAGCUGUGUCGAAAAUACAUCACAUCAAAUCCUUCUUUAGCUUCACCACCUUCUUGUCCUUCAACUAUGUAUCUAGCAGGUUGCUCGAUGUAUAUAUCUUCUUCAAGAUAUCCGUUUAAAAUGCUGACUUGACAUCCAUCUGAUGAAUUUUCCAUUCGUUUUGUGCUACAAGUGAAAUUACCAGUCAAAGGCUCUCUAUUCUAGCCACAAGUGCAAAAACUUCAUUGUAGUCGAUAAUUUAGAUGUCAAAAUCUUAGAUGCUAGAUCCAAUUAUCUUCCUUCACGCAAGUCUUCAAGCAUUUUGUCGUGUCUGGUUGGAUGUUCAAGUUGAAUAUUCUGUUCUUCGACAUCGGAACUCUGUCAAUCAGCUCCUUCUUAUCAUUCCGCAACUCCAAUUGUCAAUCCAUCAUAUGAACUUCAUACUUCUUCUCCAGUAAUUGCCCAAGACUCAAGAUGUUGCAUGUCAUUUUUCGAGCAUAGUAGACAUCAUGAAUAAACUGGUGAGAACCAUCUUUUGAUUGGAUUAGAAUUGUAACUCUUCCUUUGAUUUGAACUUUCGACGAAUCUCCAAACACUAUGUUUUCUUUCACCCGGUCGUCAAUCUCCAUGAACAUGUUCUUCAUCUUGCACAUGCGAUUGCUUGUCGCGUUGUCGAGGGACCACGUGUUCUCAUUGCACCUUUUGUCACCCUGAUAGGAUAGCAACGCCUUGCCGCUGACAAUUUCUUCUUCAAUUUUGUUCUUUGUUUCUUCAAUUUCCUUAGGCGAACUCUAAUACCCUGAGGCAUAAUGCCCAUAUUUUGAGUAGUUGUAACAUUGCACGCUAGAUUUAUCUCGGCCUUCAUUUGAUUUCCAGCUUCUUCUUCCAUGUCCACGACCUCGUCCUCUGGUGGAUUGGGUGGAAGAUCCAUUUCCGGCAUCGGCUGCUCCGUCUCUUUUGUUGUAUGCUCCUCGACCUCUUCCUUUGCCUUUGCUGCUUGAACCUUGACCUCUUCCUCAGCCUCUCUAGUAGCUUCCUCCUCGUUUGUUUUUCACAUGUGUCGCCGUGACUUGCUCUGCUGGUUCCUCCUUCCAUUUUUCUAGCCUUUCUUAUCGCGCCUGUAGCGAUCCAACAAGUUCUUCAACUGUCAUUUUUUAGACAUCCUUCGCUUCUUCAAUAGCCACCACCACAUAGUCGAACUUCGGCAACAACGAUCAUAGAAUUUUCUCCACCACCCGAGUUUCUUCAAUUUCUCUCCAUAUGGCAUCAUCAAGACUUUGAUGAAUAAUAGUCAGCGCCUUCUGGUCACUUUUACGACUCUUAUGUAAAACCUCCUUUUCUGCAAAAGAUAGCUCGGAACUUUCUGUCGGAAUAUCGUAACCCUUCUCUAUGAUAUCCCACACAUCUUGUGAUCCGAAUAACACUUUCAUGCGAAGACACCAACUCAUAUAGUUGGUUUUGGUGAUGAGAGAAACUUGGAAGGUGGUAUGUGAAUUGUUGGCCAUCUGGGUGAUUUUUGACAGAAAUGAAAAGUUUAGGUGCUUUGAUACCACUUUUUUGGUAGUAUGAUGGGGCUAAACGACAAUAACUUAAGACUUUUGGUGACUAGUCUGGACGUUUAUGGAAAGUAUAGGACUGGGAAGGUAAUUGGGUGGGAAGCUUUAUUUCUAUUGAAAGAGAAAAUGAAUGUUGUCAGAAAUGUUUAGUAAUGAGAAGAGAGAGACAAUGAAUAGGAAUUUCUUUUUAUUUAUUCUUGUUUGUCUGACUUGCCCUUCACCAAUACAAAACGCCUCUAUUUAUACAUGUAAUUUUUUAUUAUAAUAAUACAGAUAUUUUGUUUUACUAUCACCGCUAAGUUUGUGGUUUUCAAAUUCUAAAUUUAUUUAGGCUGUCCAUCAUAAUUAAUUUGUUUAGUUGGCAGUUACAAAAAUCUCUAAAGUCAAUUUAUUCUUUCUUUCUGGAGUUCUCUUCAUAUCUCCACCAUAAUUUUAAUUAUUUUAUUAAAACUUUAUAUUUCAACACAUUGAUGACUAACCAUAGUCAUGUCAAUGUCUCUUUCUUUUGAUUUUUGGCAUGCAUGUUUCAUACAGCCUUUUCUGCUGAUUCUGUAUUCUAAAUCUUUUGAUUUAAUGUAUUAAAGACUAUAAACUUGAUUAAAGAAUAAAAAUGUACAAAAAUCACUCAUAUGUACCAACCGGUUGGAAUAUGUAUACAAAACAAAAAUAUGAUUUCAUAUGAGAUGUUAAGUAUUUGAAAGGUUGGGGAAUUAUAUUGUACUGAUCAUUUUGUCAUUGUCAUGGGUUUUUUCAAGAUCUUAUUCUGGAAUUUUAAACGGUUACUAUCAUCAUGGUUCAUUCACAAUUUUAUUUACGGACCUCAAAACUGUUACUUUCAUAUAGAUACGGUCUCUAGAACGAUUUUUUGGAGGGAAACUGUCGAUGUUUUUCUUUUGAUGUGAAGCAGAAAAAUGGAGGAUGGCAUCAAAAGACAGAUUUAGUACAAGUAAGAUUCUGUUUCUAUCAUUUUUCUCUUCACAUACAGCCUUUUCAAAAAGUACACUGUUUACAAUACUCUGUCCUAUCAUUGAGCUCUCGACAAAAUUGAUGGUUCUUCAUUAGUUGAUUUUUCUUCAUUCAUCCGUCCUUUGUGAUGUUGCCCUAGACUUCUGAAGGUUCGCUCCUGGUUUAAGUAUCACAAUCACCACUACAAGCAACUGAUCGAGUCGGAUGUUUUGAUAAGAAGUCCUCCAACAACUUUCUCAUGGCCCUGCUCAUGCUCACUACAUCGAAUGGUCAAGCCUCCCAUGGGAUGAUCAAGCCCUCAUUCUUCUUAAGCAAAUGCUCAGCAAGCCUUGAAAUGAAGGUUGGCUCAAACACGAAUCUGGUAUUAUAAAUCUCUUCUUCUGUGUCUCUCCAACAUAAAUUGCUAAGUAACCCUUUGGUACAUCUGCAAGCCUCGAAGAUGUUUUAAGCCUUGAGCCAGAGCUUGUUCUUCUAAGAGUUUUCUUAACAAGAUUACCAAGCAAUUCAAUAGCCAUGUUUCAUCCCCCCACCCCCCACACCCACCCCCCAUUAAGAGAGAGAAAUUUCUAAGAUCACUGUGAAACCUCAUCUUAGAAGUCUCGGCCGAUCCAUAGGUUUAACUCUCAACUAACAAUUAAAUUAACACCAUAACCAUCAAACCUAAUAUAUAAUUAGAGUUAGUCGACUCUCUGUUUGCUCAAACUUUCUCAUUUUUGUUGCUCUGACAAUAAAGCACCAAUUUGACUCUCUAUUUGCUCAAACCUUCUUAUUUUGGUUGCCGACAAUAAAACACCAAUUUGAAAAAAAAUAGAUACCUCCUUUCUUCUUCUUCAUUAAAUAACCAUCACAUUUUCUAAUUAUUAGUUUCUAUGGUGGUCAUCAAAUGCAUUCGUUCUUUGUUAAUUGCUAUCAUUUUUUAGAAUAUAUCCGUUAAGGUGAUAUAGUUGCUAAUUCAAUAAGCUCUUCCACUCAAUGAGUAAUACUGUAAUGGUAAUGUCUUGUCUAUUAAAAGGGUAUAUGUGAAAUUUUUUGAUUUAAUUCAAUUUUGAAUCGUAUACCAAACAUGAUUUGAGAAUUCCAAAUGAAUUCUACAACUAAUUCAUUUUGAAAUGAAAUGAAUUCUUGAUUGAUUAAUACUAAACGAUGUGGGUGUUAUAAGUAAUUCAUUUAUUUUGUUGAUAGAUUUUUAUCAUUUUAGUAAUAAGUGACAAUUAAAAUAAUAAGAAUUUUACAAUAAUCUAAAAUUAAUGCAUUUUUUUUAAAUAUGCUAUCAUAGAAGAUCGUGGAAUCGUAUGAUUUUGCGAUUCGAUUAUACAAUUACGAAUUUAGGUCAUUUUUCGAUCACAAGCAUACUUUCCGCAAAUACAAGCUUGAUUUGAUUUGAUUGUUAGUUGUUUAGUAAAUGAUAUAGCAUAUAUCAGCAAUAUCUGUCUUCCUACAAGAUAGGGUUAGUUCAUGCAUGAUAGAAAAAGCAAAAACAAAAGACAGCAUUCGAUAAGUUGACAAGACCAAUACAUUUCAGAACUCAUCAACGGUGAGUCUGAAGGCCAAAACGAAAUCAUUCAGAGUUUAGACGGUCACAACGUACAUCUAGCUAGGACCUUAAGACCUGUCCUACUACUUAAAACAAAACAAAACAAAAAGGCUAAGCAACAUUGUUCUUCAGGGUUCCCCUCCUUCGCGAUCUGACUCAAAAUCAGAGAUGUCAGCAUCUGGAUCCUGAAAGUCCAUCAAUCUCCUUUUUGAGCAGCUUCAUCCUUCAUGGAUUCAACUGCCAGAAUGACCGAUCGAACUUGAAAGCCUCCUGUUCUAGCCAUGUGAUUUAUUUAGCCUUGUCUCAAUCAGCGAUCGUCUGGCACAGCUGUUAAUUUUUGUGACUAGAGGCUUGAGCCAAUUGUAGCUAGUCAGAUAGAGAAGACGCGUAUACAAACAACCACGUACCCACCAUAUUAACUAAGUUGAUUUUGAUGUCAACCGCACCCCACACCCACCGGUCAGCUCUACACUUUCAAACAUUUAAUUAUUAAACAGUGCUUUAACUUGACUGAUGUAAUUGUUUGCAGUUUAGCCACCACAAGGUACGGCUGGACAACAUUAUAAACUGUUAAUAAACCACACAGUGAAAACAAUUGAAAAAAAAGCUGUCUUCUCGCAUCCCUACAAUUUAGGGUUCACCACCGCGAACAACAACGACCAUCAUUGCUGCCUUGCCAACUUCUUUCAACCAGAAAGCAUACUUAAAGAACUUAAAAAACAACUGUUUCUCGGAUGCUGACCUCCUCUGUUUUGAGUUAGUUCAAAAGGGUGCUAAAACACUAAAUUAAAAGUUACAAAACCUGACAGUAAAACAUAGCUGUGAACGUAGCAAGCCACUGCUUUUGAAGAUAUUUCCUCCGGAUUGGUGCAAUCCCUUCAAUGGUGGAAAGGUUAUCACAGCAGCUUCUUCCUUGCAUGGUAGAAGAAACUUGGCAAUAACUAAAGCACUAUAACUAGUUGUAAGUGAGUUUGAUAUCUCUGCAACUUGUAAUUUGAACUUCACUUUACAUCCUUAUAUAGCUGUAGUGUUCUGUCCCUCUACAUGACCUUUUCUAGUUUGUUGAGAAUCCCUGAAGAUCAGAACAACCAAGUAUCAUUCAUCAUUGCUCUCUCCAUGAUGCUGCAGAUCAGCUGAAAAUCUGCUGAUUAGUUAGUUGGCUGCAGAUCGUUGGAGAUGAGGGUUUGAAUGGGCCAUCAUCAUGUCUUGUGGACCAAGCAACUUAUUAGAUUUGGAUCGGUAGGCUCCUGGAUUAUGGGCUUCACAUUCACAUUCAUCAGAAUUUUAUCAAUGAAAAACAAUGAUAAAUAACAGCAUAGCCAUAAACGCAGCUAGAACAUUAGUUAACCCCAAUGACAUCAAUAAAAAUUUGUAGUAGCCAUACCUGGUCUUGAAGGCUGCCUUAGGGUCAUCCCUAUGGUCAACACUAUAGCCCAAGAAGGCCCACACAAGAAAAGAAGUAUCAUCAAGUCAGAUCAUGAAAGAUGUUCAGAUGCAGAGUGCAAGGAGCCGUAUGGAUAAGGCCGAUGGAGAGCAAUAAAGCCUACAACGUCAUUGAUGGGCCAACACAACAAAUGACCUUGAUCGCAAAGUUCAUUGCAAUUCAAAUAAAAUGCGGCCCAUACUAAUAUAGUCUCUAAUAACUAGACCAUAUAUUAUUAUAAUUUGAUUAUGCACCGCAUGUCAUUAUAAUUGUUGUUUACGUGUGUUUAUCGAUUUUUACAGGUUUUCUCAAAUUCAACGGGUUAUCAAUCUGAUGUUGCUGUCCUGUGGGUUAUAUAUGGGGUCCAACAACAUAUAAAAUAAAAUAAAUAACUAAUAGAAAAAAAUACCACCUCUCCCCGCCGGCCGGCCCUACUCCCUCCCCAUCGCUCUUCCAUAUCCGUCAAACUCCCCCCUUGCUAGCUGAUUCGUUUAUGGCUUCAAAUUUUUGCGACAGCUUCAUAUGCAAAGAUAAUAGCUUGCAGUGGAACAAACAACUUUGAACUUAGAAACGAAUUGGAUUCAUGAAAAUAGAAGAACAGAAAACACAUGUAAAUCCUGCAAUUUCCUAUUGAUCUUUUCCUUUCUGUACUUUAGACUAGGAACAAUUAGGGCGGUGGGGAUGGAUCAAGACACUAAAGAACCCAGGAAGUGUUCUACGAUAACAAUGGUUGGUGCAAAUGUCUUUAUUUUUUCUGCGUUUAUUGUUGAACUUGUUUUGUGCAUUAGCAAGAUAAAACCAAAACUCUGCUUUCUUCUCUCCCCCGUCUAGCUCCCAACCACUAUCGAAAUUGAAUCCCUUUUCAACAAUUACAUACUUUGGGUAACAUCAUUCUAGAAUCACCCUUUUGAUAUGAGAUUACAAGAACCUCCAAUUCAUCAGAGAUCGACCCCCUCUUCAUAGCUCUUGUAUCUAUAACGAAUGCAUCUGGAAAAAACAAAGAAGGUCGAAACCUUAGUCUCAAUCCCCGAAAACCCAUAAAAAAAAUUGACAUAAACACUCUCUUAUCAGUUUCUAUCCGAUCUUUCCACAACAUGCAAGAUUGCAGCUCAUCCUUAUCCCCAGUCGUACGGACCUUGAUUGCGGCGAGAUCCAGGUACUGUCGCAGAGAACCAGCUCCACAAAGCCACAUUCAAUUUCUGCAAGAACAUGUGGAAUAAUCGACUUUGAUAUCGGGAGUUCGGAGAGCAUGGGUAUGCUGAAGAGCAUCAGGAAUUGGAACAAACAGCGGUAAGAAGUAGGGCCGGCGGUAGUGGGGAAGGGAAGGGGGAGAGGAGGUUUCUUUUCUAUUAAUUAUUUAUUUUAUUUAUAUUUUGUUGAAUCCACAUGUAACCCAUAUUGCAGCCAUAAAAUUGGUAUCCUGUUGAAUCUAAGAAAGCCUACAAAAAUCAAUAAACGCAUUUAAAUAACCAUUAUAAUGGUAUGCAAUGAGAAUUUAAACUAUAAUAGCAUAUGGUGUAGCUACUAAAAAUUGUAGUGGUAUGAGCUGCAUUUUAUAUUUACAAUUACAUUCGAAAAUUGGAUUUUAAGUCAGAGCCCAAACGAAACAACUUUCCUCAACCAAGAAAAAGAGCAUAAUUAUUAUGUAACAUUCAAAGACAUUUGGUUGAGUCAAAACCGUUUAAGGAAAGUGCAACUUGGUCCGAUAGCAUCAUCAUCGACGCACCGACUCAAGUCUAAUCACAUUAUCUCUCAAUCAGUCAACGUUGUUCAAGUUAUAUGAAUGCCAGAGGCUUAAUAUGACUAAAAAGGCCAAAAUUCAAUUUGGUGAUAUCCAGAACAUCAUGGAGUCCAAAUGUGGAAAAUCGCACCUUAUCUGAGCCAACGAAAACUUCGGAACGAAGACGAAACGAGGCCUUUCAGACUUUUUAAACCCAAGCCAAGAGUAUAGCUGUUAAAGUUACUAAUGUGAAUCCAGUUUGGAAAGAAAUGGUUGUGGGAUGGGGAUGGGGAUGGUUUAGUAUAAUUAACGAUUAUCCAUUAAUUACAAAACUUUUGAUGUUAGAAUACUUAUUUUUUAUCGUUAGAAUUCUUUAAGGUCGUUAAAUUUUUUUGAUCGAAUAUUUAUAGCUUCAUAUUAAAUUUUAAUUAAUAAAAAACUGAAUAUAAAUUAUUUAAAAUCAAGGUCCCACUCUAAAAACCGGUUAUUUUCCUUGAUUUGUGUAAUUGUGUACCGUUGGUGAUUUGUUUUAGUCCACUCUUUCUUCUUUGAAUAUAUUUUUUCAUUUUUUAUUAAUCAAUUAAUUAUUUUCAGUUUUAUAUUUUCAUUUUUCUCGGUGGCGGAUUCCAACUAUAUACACGUUAAUUUUGUUCUUACACAUUUUGGUUGAUACAAAUUGUACUUCAUAUUUGUAUUGUAAUAUUUAUUUUAUUUUUCCAAUGAGAUGCAACCCAUUGUUGUUUAAACGAACAUUUGUUUUGGAAUACCCAAGCAACCACAUGCAACUCCUUCAUUUUGUACAUGUCUUCAAGCUGAGGCAUUAACUGUACCAAUUCGAAAUAAAAAUAUGACAAUAAAACAUUUUUAAAACCUUAACAGAUGUUUAAAUACUUGUAACACCCAAUUAGCAUAUCAGGUAGUAGAACAUAAAAAACAAAGAAAAAAACUAUUCAGAAAAUCGUCAUUAUUUCUAAGUACGUAUUAUAGUAUUUUCCCAAAAUUUAAGUUAUGUACCAUAUUCUCACACCAAUAGAAUCUAUGACAAACUGUCACCAAUUACAAAUUUGAAUACGUCCUAGAAAUACCUCAUCUCUCAUCUUAUGUAUGCGUUACCACGAUCAAGAGUCGUCCGCUGAGCACCCCACUUCUUCGCCUUCUUUAAAACCUCCUCAAAUUCGGUGUUGAUCUCCCAAGAUAUCGGCUGAAGACAUAUAGCAUUCCUUCGGUUCCUAUUGUAAGCUCUGUCACACAACACCGACGUCAUACAAUCUCCCACGUACCCUAGUCUUAAAACCUGCAACAUUUUUUAAACAAUUUAAUCGUUACUGGUCCACAAUUAAACUUUAAGCACACAUUGUUCUCUAUAGAAUCCUACUGAUGCAUUACUAAUAACAUGUACCAAUUUAAGAUUGCUAGAAAAUUAGGGUCCAUCUAUAAUAAUGGCCAUCACCAAAAUCUUUUAGUUAAAAAAAACAGAAUAAAUUGGAAGUUUGUAAUGUAAUGAAAUAAAAAAAGGGACAACUUGCAUUAGUAUGAUAAAUAGGUAUACAUAAAAAAACCAUGUCUACACUGAAGAACAAGAAUCAAAAAGAGUUUUCAAUGUUGACAAAAUUGUGUUAAGGCAGAUUUUUAGAAAAAACAAGUACAAUAAGUAGAAAUCGAUAAUUAGAAAUGUAAACUAACCUCUAUACCUGAAUAAGAAUGGUGUUUGCUAGUUCCAUUCCUUCGAUUAUUCACAUUGCGAGAAGGAUUUGCAACCUCCGAUCUAUUCGUCGUCUUCAGUUAUUUACCAGAACGACAUGUCAUCCGGGGAGGAGCAGACAGAGAGUGACAUAUUGAAUGACGACUGUUGUUGAGGAGGAAUGGGAGGUCGGCAACGAUACCCUGAAGUAAGGAAAAAUUAACAAUCUGCGGGAUAAUGACGACGAAUGUGAAAGAGGAUGGGUGGUCGCCGACAAUCAACUUUCUUCCAUGAAAUAAUUGGUCGUCGGAUUUCGAUGAGGAAUAAAGGUCGAUCGUCGAUCUCCGAUUUCCUAUCUGCGUCUAUUGGGUAAGAAAAAGCAAAAAACGAUGGAAAAUUUUCGUUCAGGAAAAUAAAAUAUAAUACAAAAUAGAAAAUAACCGUAAUUUAUAAAAAUAUAUAUUCUAUUUAUUUUCAAAUUCUUGAAUUUGAUUAGGUUAGGAACAAAUCAGCCCCACUAACAAUUUCUAGACUAAACCAUUAAAUUAGAGGAUUACUAUUUCACGCGCUAACUUUCGAAUUAUAUGACGCCCUAAACUUCGUGAAGACGAAACUAUCCAAAUUUACUAAUUCGAAAAACUUNNNNNNNNNNNNNNNNNNNNNNNNNNNNNNNNNNNNNNNNNNNNNNNNNNNNNNNNNNNNNNNNNNNNNNNNNNNNNNNNNNNNNNNNNNNNNNNNNNNNNNNNNNNNNNNNNNNNNNNNNNNNNNNNNNNNNNNNNNNNNNNNNNNNNNNNNNNNNNNNNNNNNNNNNNNNNNNNNNNNNNNNNNNNNNNNNNNNNNNNNNNNNNNNNNNNNNNNNNNNNNNNNNNNNNNNNNNNNNNNNNNNNNNNNNNNNNNNNNNNNNNNNNNNNNNNNNNNNNNNNNNNNNNNNNNNNNNNNNNNNNNNNNNNNNNNNNNNNNNNNNNNNNNNNNNNNNNNNNNNNNNNNNNNNNNNNNNNNNNNNNNNNNNNNNNNNNNNNNNNNNNNNNNNNNNNNNNNNNNNNNNNNNNNNNNNNNNNNNNNNNNNNNNNNNNNNNNNNNNNNNNNNNNNNNNNNNNNNNNNNNNNNNNNNNNNNNNNNNNNNNNNNNNNNNNNNNNNNNNNNNNNNNNNNNNNNNNNNNNNNNNNNNNNNNNNNNNNNNNNNNNNNNNNNNNNNNNNNNNNNNNNNNNNNNNNNNNNNNNNNNNNNNNNNNNNNNNNNNNNNNNNNNNNNNNNNNNNNNNNNNNNNNNNNNNNNNNNNNNNNNNNNNNNNNNNNNNNNNNNNNNNNNNNNNNNNNNNNNNNNNNNNNNNNNNNNNNNNNNNNNNNNNNNNNNNNNNNNNNNNNNNNNNNNNNNNNNNNNNNNNNNNNNNNNNNNNNNNNNNNNNNNNNNNNNNNNNNNNNNNNNNNNNNNNNNNNNNNNNNNNNNNNNNNNNNNNNNNNNNNNNNNNNNNNNNNNNNNNNNNNNNNNNNNNNNNNNNNNNNNNNNNNNNNNNNNNNNNNNNNNNNNNNNNNNNNNNNNNNNNNNNNNNNNNNNNNNNNNNNNNNNNNNNNNNNNNNNNNNNNNNNNNNNNNNNNNNNNNNNNNNNNNNNNNNNNNNNNNNNNNNNNNNNNNNNNNNNNNNNNNNNNNNNNNNNNNNNNNNNNNNNNNNNNNNNNNNNNNNNNNNNNNNNNNNNNNNNNNNNNNNNNNNNNNNNNNNNNNNNNNNNNNNNNNNNNNNNNNNNNNNNNNNNNNNNNNNNNNNNNNNNNNNNNNNNNNNNNNNNNNNNNNNNNNNNNNNNNNNNNNNNNNNNNNNNNNNNNNNNNNNNNNNNNNNNNNNNNNNNNNNNNNNNNNNNNNNNNNNNNNNNNNNNNNNNNNNNNNNNNNNNNNNNNNNNNNNNNNNNNNNNNNNNNNNGAGAAUUUAUCGGAAGGGAGUGGUCCCGGGCGGAAGCUUGUUUCGGUCGGGAGGGGUUCGGGCCGGAGGCUCGUUCCGGCCUAGUCCCGGCCGAAACGAGCUUCCGGCCGGAACUAAUCUCGGCCGAAACGAGCUUCCGGCCGGGACCACUCCCUUCCGAAAAAAAUUUCGGAAGGCACCGAGGCCUACCGAAACCUUUUUUUUUCGGGAGGCACCGAGGCCUCCCGUAACCUUUUUUCAGAGGACAUCGAGGCCUCCCAUAAUCUUUAUUUCGGGAGGCAUCGAGGCCUUCCGAUACAUUAUUUUCGGGAGGCAUCAAGGCCUUCCGAUACCGUUAUUGUCACUAUGUGUAGAAGAAAGCGUAGAAAUGCGAAAAUAAUACAUAGAUAAUACGAACUCAUAGAUACUGUGUGAACNNNNNNNNNNNNNNAAACAUAAGCACGAUAAUUGCUAAACAACACUCAGAUAUAUUGUUUGAAGAAAGAAAGUACAACAACUGUAGUCUCGACUCUCUCUCUAGCUCCGAUACCCCAUGUAGAGAUCCUAAAACUGCAUGCAUAUCCCCUCCAUAUGGUCGUAGUACUCUUGAGGCGAGUCUGCGUGUUGCCGCCCAAGCGUACCAUCGAAGUAGGAGGCCAUACCAUCGAAGACUCGCUGUGUAAUCUAUGAAAAAAGCAUAAAUUAAGAGUUAGCUAAACAACAUGUACAUAUUAUAAACCCGUCAAAUGUGAAGGUGAAAUCGAACUUACAAGCUCAGGUGGGACGCCUACACCGGGUUUAGCUGGUGCUAGGAUGCGAGGGUGACUGUGCUCGAGGUACCAGUCCAUGUACCCUGGAGCAACAUCCGCCGCAGACACUGCCCUCUCGAACAUAAGGUGUAGCCGGUGAAAUCUGAUGAAGUCCUGCUCCGACCAAGUCCUAUCCUCAGCCGGGGCUCACUAGACCGCAUAGUUCCGGAUGGCGGGGGGUCUAACAGCCCGCACCGGCACAGCAAUUGAGGGAGGGACAACCUGUGUGUACCCAAACUGUCGGAGUACACGAUAGGAAUCGUAGUACUCACCUACGUCGGCGCAGUGGAUGAGACCACGGAAAGUCGACACAUGGACCUCAAGGUCGGGAUGCGGCCCAAAAGGAAGCCAAAUAACAUCAUGGGAAUCCAUGCUAUCGAGGAGGCGUCGAUAGUAAUCCAACCUCUCUCGUAGGACUCCGCCACCCCGACUAGGUGUUUCUGCACUGUCCCAUCUACCAGCUAAUGCAUCUCCUGCCCUACGCUCCUGUUGAACCAUCCUGGGAGGCCUCACACUAGGGAAGUACUCGUAUAUCCAGGACUCAAGCAACGUCACAGAGCCUGACAUCGCCUUCGCAUCCGCACGGCUAGCCUUUCCUAACUCCCGAUACAACCAGGUCAGCGCACCAGCACCCCAAGCGUACUCCGGCACAUCACUAAUCGAACCCAUGAAGUACUCCCAACCAACGAGGCGUGAUCGAUCAGUCGAUCUAUCCUGAAAAAGGAUACCUCCAAGAAGACAGAAGAGGAAUACCUUAUACGCGAUCUCAUCCCCCGUAUGCUUCCCCAGGGAGAUCAUGUCUAUCUCGUGCAUGGUGCUGUGAUCAUACAACGAUGGGCCAACUCUCUCGCCCCUAACUGAGUACUCCAAUGCAGGAGCAGAGCUAAACCCAAGCGCCUCCGCUACACCCACUCUCAAAUCAACAAGAGCUCGGGCUUUAUGAAGCGGCCGUCUAGACACCGGGACCCGGAGAAUGUGGAAGACGUCGUACAAAGUGAUCGUCAUCUCUCCCCACUGCAUGUGAAAGGUGUUAGUAUCCGGCUGCCACUUCUCAACAAAUGCCUCCAGAAGAGGCUCAUCAUAGUGGUUCGACAUGCACCGACCCAAGUGAAGAAGUCCCGACUCCUGCAUGAUCGGCCAAAUGGUACUCGUCGGGAUGUCGCACUCACUCACAGUGUCCCACUGCUGAGGGCGCUUCAGGAACCUGAAGACCUUCAGAUCCCUGUAUCCCUCGCCUGACUCCCACAAGUAGUGUGCAAUGUGACCUCCGAAGCUCGGGAUCACUGUCGGCGUCCUCGGUCCACCCUCUGGAAGCCCUGCAGUAAGCUCCUAGGUACGACUCAGUCCCUGCUAGUCCACUCCACUGGCGGCAUCCUCCUUCCGGACCCGCGCAAGUCGGCUAGGUUUCCCUCCUCUCACGCUAACACUCGCGGAGGCAUGUGACGAGCUCGUAGAAGCGAGGUGCGGAGAGCUCGUGUGCAGAGAAGCCAUGUAUGGAGAAGUCAUGUGCGGAGAAGUCAUGUGCGAAGAAGUCUGUGUGUUAUCGUACUCAAACCCCGGCGGUGGACCCUCAUCCUCGUCAUAAUCUUCUGGAUACGACCUAACCGGGUACGUAACAAGAGGGUACCGGUCAGGGGAGCCGUAGAUUUUCAACUUCUUGUUCUUCUUCGCUGCCUCUCCCUCUUUCCGGCGCGAAGCGGUGACCACUUGCUCUUUCAUCCGAUCUAAAAUGCCCGCUUGUUUUCCUUUCCCUCUCAUAUUCUGGAUCCCAUCGGUUUCUUCCUCUACCGGAUCUUGACUGUGCGAUUUACUUCCGCCUUUCGUUUUCGCCAUAUUUGUCACUAAACUGCAUUUAAACAAAUGAAUGUUCCUAAUAAAAUUCGGAUUCUACUAAACUAAGUUCAUUUAUUAUUCCUAACUAAACCCUAAUACCCUAAGCCUAAACCCUAAUUUUCCUAAAUAUUCACUAACAAAACCCUAAUUAUUCUAAAUAUUCACUACCAAAACCCUAAUUAUUCUAAAUAUUCACUACCAAAACCCUAAUUAUUCUAAAUAUUCACUACCAAAACCCUAAUUAUUCUAAAUAUUCACUACCAAAACCCUAAUUAUUCUAAAUAUUCACUACCAAAACCCUAAUUAUUCUAAAUAUUCACUAACAAAACCCUAAUUAUUCUAAAUAUUCACUACCAUUCUCUAAUUAUACUAAUCGUACCCUAAAAAUUCUCUAAUUAUACUAAUCACAAUAAUUAAUUUCAUAAAUAAAAAAAAGGCCCGGCCGGCCGCUCGUUUCGGCCGAGAGGGGCCCCGGCCGGGGCCUUCCUAUACCCUUUUUUUCGAUUUCGUACCUGUAACGUUCGCUUCCGAUCUUCGAUUUCUUCUUCAGAUCAACGUUUGUGAGUGUUUGUGAGUGUUUGAUUGUGUAUGAUUGUGUUUGAACUAGUCAAUACACACAACUUAUAUGAAUUUCGAUUUUACAAAAAGAUAAUAUUGUAAUUUACUCAAAUUAGAGCGUUGUUUAAUUCGAAAGUUAAGGCGUCAAAUAGGGGUUCACUUAAAUUAUGCUCAUUAAAUCUAAUGACUAUUCUUACCAUUAGGAUACCAAAACUAUUAGAUCCGAAUUAAUAAUUCAUCGUCGUCUCCGGACUCUCAAAUUUUCAGAGCCAUUUCUCCUUUCGGAUCGGAGACUGAUUGCUUUAUGCCAAUCGCCGGGGAGAGAGCAAACUGAUUUCCAGAUUUUCCAUAGGUCAGGAAACUACAAUGGGAGAUCGGGACAAAGAGUGGGAUUUUUAUCUCCGGUCCUUAUCCAACAGCGCGAGAGACUCCAACUUGGCUAGCGACCCCGCCUCCGAUCCUUCUCUCCUCAAUUCCGUAUUCCUCUCUCUUUUGUUCACUCUCCUGUGAAGCGUACCUUUAAGUACUUGAGAGACGGAGAAAGAGAUAUCUGAUGGUCGUUUUUUUUGGUAGGUGAGGAAGCUCUACCAGUUGUGUAAAGAAGAGAAUUCAGAGGAUUUGGUGGCUAGGGUAUAUCCGCACUUUAACAAGAUCUUUCAGCGUUCCGUGGCUUCUCUUUCUCAAUCGAGCUCGUCUUAUGGACUUCUCUUGCUGGUCAGUUUCUCGUUGUAAUUUUGUUUGUCUUACAUGAUUGUUCUUCCGUAAAAUUUGUCCUUCUAGAGAUCCAGUUAUUCUUCUUGGUCUUUGUUAACAGUUAGCAGGUCACUGAGAUUAGUUUAGUUUGAACAAUGAGAUUGUACAGUUGAACUGGAAAGAAAAACAGAAGAAGCCAAACAAUUCUGCUCUUUUUUAGCACGACUAAUGCGUCUGACUUCACUACUCUGCAUCGAAAUGAUGUUCGCAGGAGAUUAUUUGGUUGUCUCCAUUUCGAUUUUGUAGUUCCUGUCUUCAUUUCUAAGAUUAAUAAGUUAAUCUUAACUGGGACAGGCUCACGGAACGGAUGGUCUGUUUUCCCCAAGAUGUUGAUACAUAUAUACAACUGAUGGUGUUGCAUUUUUCCGUCUUCUUCGAAUCAGGCUAUAAUCCAGUUUUUCCUCGACUUCGGAGAGAUUGUUCUGCAUGAUGCUGAUCCCAGUUUAAGAACAUUUUUCCGUUCAUGUUUGAGUCGGUAAGGAUAAACUCUCAACGUUGCUUCUUUCGUUUACUCCAACUUACUAUUUUUUUUAUCUCAACCAACAUAAUAUUGGAUAAAUGAAUGUAGUAAGAUUUGUGGUGUUAACAGAGGACAUAAAUGAAUGAUAAUUCAUUUGAAAACGUAAUGUGUAGAAUUCCAGCCUUGGUUUAAUUAUCUUUUCGUCCUCGUGGUGAUCGCCUUAAUUGGGUCCAUGAAACAAGUCUUUCCCUUUAUCUAAGUAACCAUGGUGAAUAGUCUUCUGAAUUGAUUAGUUACCGGCAUAAUGACUUGUGACCAGACUGGUUAUGAAUUAUGAUAAAUGUGGUUUCCAGCACACCUAUCUUGUGCUAAUGUUUUAAUUGCAGUGAAUUUGCAGAUGUAACCGUUGCAGAAGCAACACUUGAAUUUCUGAAUGUCAACAAGAGAAAGCUCCUGGCCUCUUAUCCUGCGUUACUACCUCAAGUAUGAAUUGUAUACUACAAAGCUAUUGAAAAAAUUCAUGCUGGGUUUAUAUUUAGUAUGAUAAUACAUUAAUACUAGAAGAGCAAAAAGCAAGCGAACGUCAAGUUCCCUUUUGUUGAAAAUGGAUACUCAAUACUCUCUUCUCAACUUUUUGUCUGUGGACUUUGGUACUAACUAUGUUGUGCUGUAUGUGCUUUAAGACACGCCAAAUUUUCUGGUUCCAUGGAUCUCACUACUUUGUGAUCCUUUUUCACAUCCAAAACUAGAAUCUUCGAGGAAGGGUAAACCUGCUUGUGACAGUAUUUUCUAAGUGUGGCCAUGGUCCAUAGUGCUUGAUAAGAGUGUUGAAAUAGUCAUUUGAGUUAUUUCAUAAUAGAUUUUCCCUUGGAAAUUUUGAUUCUAAGUAUCUGCUAAAAACUGAUUUCUAGUACUGGAGUAUGCUGAGAAACAGAAUAUGGUUAAAUCAUGUCCUUCUCUUGAUUUCUAGUUACUGGAGUAGGCUGAGAAACUGAUUUCUAGUGCUGGAGUAUGCUGAGAAACUGAUUUCUAGUCACUUGAGUUAUUUCAACAAUAGCUCUCGCUUUAAAUCAUGUCCUUCUCUUAGUAGCUUAAAUAUGGUUGGAAUCUGGAAACAGAAUAAGAGAUGUAGUUUCAGCCAUGAAAAGAUCACAAUUCACAAGUACUCCUAGCUAUUAAUAAGCAUUCAUUAUGAUUCGCCAAGGAGUUGGAGUUGUCUUUACAGAGAGUUAUGAGCAUAGCUGUGAUGGUGACCAAUGGAUUGCUAGUCCAUGAUGUGUUACUUUCCUUACUAUUAAGUUUACAUUCUUUGAAGAAGCUCCCUUCUUUGAACAACAAAAAGAUCCAUUCUACUGUCUUUUGAAGAAUUAGUUCAUACAAAGUGAUUAGAUUUUUGAGAUUAAAGAUAGCUGUUUCAGUGAUUUUCAAAGCUAACAUGUCAACUAAAGAAACUGUUUAUACUGUUUACCCAGUUAAGGAGGGUUGACGAGGGUCUUUAAGCGCAAAUCCUUUCAUUUUGAAAUAAUAGGAAAUCUUUAAAAAGAUUGUUUAUAGCUGAACGUGAUGCUCUAUGUUUGGUUACAGUUUUUUCCACUGUUGCUGAAGUUGAUAGCCUGGAAUGGAGAAAAGUAAGUCUUUCUUCUUGCGCUCUAUCACAUCUGUUUUUCUUUUGUUCUUUAGCUGCAAGCCUUCAAUUAACCUGCUGUCAUCAAUUAUACAUCAGCGCCAAUAUGUAGAUAAUGAUUCAUUGUUAUUCAUAGUCAUCGUAAAUUAUUUUCUCGACUUCAUAGUGGUUUCAUGAGAUUCGUUAGUAUGUGUUCAUCCUCAUCACCACGGGAUUCAUAGUUCAUGCUCUAGGUUUCCUGGUCCUCAAAGGUUUCUGGUGGUGGCCUGUAGUGUAAACAAGCUCCUGCUGUACUGAACUCCGUACAUAUCCGAUGACCAAGGAACUGAAUUAUUUCAGGCUGGCUAACUGCUUCUUGAUCCUGUGUCCAGGUUGCAGAAAUCAUUCUUGAAGAUUUUUCCAGAGUUAAUAUCGCCAGCUUCAUUUCUUCCUCUAUUUCCGUCCUUGGUGGAUCUUCCUGGUAAGUAGCUGCAGCUGUUUGUGUAAUAUAACAAUUUUUUCUAGUAACAAGUGAUUUAAUUUCUGCUAAGUGCUUUUUGGCAGUACGGUCAGAACCUCUCUGAACAUGUUUUCUUGAGUAGAUAAGUAGAUUUAUGUCCUUCCAAAUUUCUAUUGAUCUUUUACAUCUAAAAUAUUCAUUUUAAUGGGUGCACGAACCAUUUUGGAUGAGGUUUUAUUCUAUAUAUUCUGACUAAAUAAAGCUGUAUCGAGUUUCUGAUUGUUAAGUAUAAAAUAAUAUUCUAAUCAGUUGAAGAAAUAUAUUCCAAAUUCUACAUCUCAGAACUCUUCUAUCUUUGAGAAGAAAUAGUUCUCUUUUCCGAAGGUAUCACAAUUCACAAAAUGACAGGACAAAUAGGAGCCGAAAAAAUUGUGCUUUGAGCAUUGAUUUUUCCUUGUUCAUACAAAAAUUUAAAUAAAAAUCGAAGUUUGUGCAUCUCUAUCUCCUCUUCGUCUUGACAUAUAAUUAAAUCAUCAUUCUGUUUCUUGUAUGUGCCAGUUUUAGUAGUGGCAUUGGAAAGGGUGGAGAGAAGUUCAGGUUCCCUUAUUGGGAGUAGUAUUGCCUCAAUCCAGAAGAGUAGUGCUCCUGAGGUUAGUUUUAAGACACUUGUAUAUUCUUUUUAAGACACUUAUAUAUUCUUGCUUUACCUGACUUUUUGUAUUUCUAUCUGCCUAAAGUUGUCUUUUUGCAGAUGUUACUUGCACUAAUGGAUGAAGCUUAUACUGGUUCAACCAUAGGUGAUGGCGGUGGAGACAGUGGAUCAGAGGAAGGCAAUGCGAUUGAUGCAGGCGAUCCUUUGUUUCUAGAACUUUUGAAGGAUGAGAAUGAUGGAUUAGCUGUACAGUCCCUUUUAUUCUCAGAUCUUGCAAGUCACUUUAUUCAGUUAAAAAAUAGUUAGAAAGCAACUCCAGGGAAUUCACAAAGCAACUGCAGGGAAUUCAUUAGGUUUUUUUUACCCUUUCGACUACAGGGGAUUCAUUGAAGCUAUAAGUUUCUUUUCAAGUUGCUUAACAACCUUUAUUGAAUUCAAUAUUGCAGGAGCGUCAUAGGACAUCCCCCAGUAUGGCUGCAGCUUUGCAAGCUGCGGUCAAUGCUCCUCAAUCUGAUAGGCUAAAGCAAUCGCUCAAAAUAGCACCUCGGCUUCUUGAUCUGUACUGUGCUAUAGCAAUCCGCGAUGUCAAUGACUGUAUGCCUAACAUCAGUUUGACUUUGUUUUACUUUGAAUUGCUUUGAUUUUUUUAUAGUAAAAACAGUUUUCUAUGCUGCAUGUGAUGAUAUUGCAUGUCUGGCUUCUCAAGCUCUGUGAUUUUUUAUCUUCAUUGCAGCUUUAAAUUGUGCCCUAAUUCCAUUGCUUAUGGCAAGAAAUGAUGCACUAUUCCCUGACAAAUAUUACUGCUAUCAGGUAGAGUUGUACUUUAGAACACUUCUCUUUUUCUUCGCUUCCUUUUCGUUAACCCAGUCUUCACAUGAUUGGAUAUGCUUUUCCAACCUUAUGAAUGACUUCACACUAUUGCACAUCAUCCUUUCUGAUUUUCUAAAAUGUUUUAAUAUUCUGAGAUGUAAUUACCAUGCAAGCUUUACUUUCCGCUGGUCAUGACACGUGGUAACUUGUUUAAAAUGCAUGCGCAAUGAUGGAGAAGAACUUCUAAUUUCCUAUGAUUCAAUUUCUCAUAGGUCCGUAAAAGGCUUUUGGAGUAUAUGCUGGCUUCGUUUCAGCGAUCUCCAGAUUUUAUUGCUCUUUUGAAGGUUAGCUCUUCUGCUUCUUGAACAUCCUUUGGCUUAAAAUGUUAAAAAGUGUGAAUGGGAAUGAACAAGACUUAGACUGAAGGUAGCUGUUUGAUUUCGCUGUGACUUUGGACAGAAAGUGGUAUUUUUGGAAUGGGAAUUGCGAGUGAAAGGCAAUGUUAUAAGUAGUUUACUGUAUGGAACUUAUUUUGGUUUGGUAUACCUGAAGAGGCUUUAUGUUACUAUUCCCUCGGAUAUAUUUAUCAUACUGGAACUUACUGCAGAAACCAAUUAUGAACCGACUUGGAGAAGCUUAUGACAGCCCGGCAAAGGUGAGGAUGUUAUGAUUCUCAUGUAAUCUGCGUUUGCGACCUUUUCUCCUUGUGAGUCCAAUCCAUGUAGCAAGUUCAGAUGUUUUGUUUUCUUUUUCGCUAUAGACAGAACUAGCAUUACAGUUGUGUUGGGCGAUAGGGGAACAUGGUGGUGGUGGCGCGUCCCACAAAGAUGCUGCUCGCGAACUUUUUGAGAAUUUAGAGCUACUUCUCUAUGAAAACCUGUCGUCUAGGUAGUAUUUUCAUCGUUUGUGCUUGCUUCUUUUCAAAAGAUUAUGUAUAUGUUCCUUAUUUUUCCCUUACUGACUUGAUCGAUCUGUCUUGCACUUGGAAGCCGGCUUGGCUUGAAUUCAGCAAUUGGCGAGAACGUGAGGAAGUCAUCACAGUCGAGGCUUCUGUGUUUUGUUAUAACAGCUAUAGCGAAGCUGGCCACAUAUCACCGCGAAUUGUUACCAAGAGCCCGUGUGUCCUUAGGCAAGGCAUGUUUAGCUGCUGGACUGACAUGGGAUUGAUUUUUCAGUCUGGUAUGUAUCUGUUAAUGGAAAUAAUAUGAUAAUUAAGCUGGGCCAACUUUAAUUUGCAGGUAGCUAGAUCUCGCAUAUCAGAUAUAAGAGUUUGGAGGCGUGCCCGAGAUUACUUAGGUUUGAUCGAUGAUCCAGCAAUUUCGUUGUCUGUUUUGGGACCUUGUCGGCCUUCACAAGGACACGUUCAAAAGCCAGGAACUGUGAACUGGAGUGAUGGAGGAACCAAAAUGAUUGCACAUAUCCCCUUCUACCUUGUCGGUGAACAACAAGGUAAAAGAUGCAUUUGGUGUUCUGGAGCUUGAUUUUGAUCGUUUAAGGUUGGUUAUGGUAAAAGAUGCUUUAUCCUUCUUUGCAGGCUCCCCAGUCCACGACUUCUCUUUCUCUGAUAUUUUCCCGAUCAACAAGAUGAGGAAUCUAGGUUGAAGGAACCUAGGUUGAAGGAAUCUAGGUCUUGCAACAAAACAAUGUCUGUAAUUUCGACCCGGUUAUGCCUACAAGUAAGUGCAUAAAAUUCAUCCUCUUUCAUGCGGGUAGAGUUGGCAUUUUAGAAAACCCAUUAGGAUAUCCGGCCCGAUCCGCCCGAAAUUUGGGCUUUUCUACCUGGUUAACUUGGCUCGUCAACGGGCGAAUGGGCACCCGAAAUCCGCUAUUGACGGAUCGUGGGUGGGGUCGGAUCCAUUACAAUCCGCCCCGAUCCCCACCCGUUGAAUAAUCUGUACCAAAACGACGUAGUAUUCGCCUUCAUAUAUAUAACACCUACACUCUCAAACUUUGGGUUCUAAUCACAAACCCUAGCCGCCUAAACUCUAAGCUCUCUGUGUAUAGUUUUCCUUCAUCCAAUUGCAAGACCCACUCCCUCCAGCUCAGAAUCCACAGCGGCAACCACAAUUACGAAGGCCUUUCCUACGUCUCCUCAUCCCCUUUCGUCUUCCUCAAUCUCUAUAGCUACAGCUCCGUCGCCGUCGACGUCGAUUCCGAGACCGUUUGGGUCAAUUCCGACGCCACUCUUGACAAGCUUUAUCACCCCAGCCCCUCAGAGUGUGGGUUCUAAUCAUUCAGCCGAUUCCUUCAUUACGGAUAAGCAAAAUCCACAUGCAAUGGUUUAUUUUUGUCAAUUGUUGUUGAAGUUAAGCUCAAGAGUUUGGCUAGGAUUCUGUUUGAUUGUUGGUGCAAUUCCUAUGGUUGGCGUUUGUUGUUUUGAUUUAUGUGUUUCUGAUAACUGACUGCGAUAUUGUGGAAUCGAUGGUUGGACUACUAUUCGGGUUUGGUUUAUCCGGCUGGUGACGGGGUUGGUUUGGGUUUUGGAUCCGUUUGGCCGUCGGGGAUGGGGACGGAAAACCCGGCGAUUGUGGUGGACGGGGAUCGGAUACACCAAACCCGUCCCUGAUCCGCCCCGAUCCCGUCCCUGAUCCGCCCCGAUGCACCCCUACAUGCGGGCAACCAGUUUAAUUGCUGGCAUUCUCAGUAAUGAAAACAUAGGAAGGAAUUUAGUAAGCAAGCCAGUAUAAUAUUAUUUGAAAUCUUUGCUAAGCUAGCUUGUUUUGUUAACCCGUUUGAAUCAAUUAAUGAAUGUGAAUCAGUUCCACGAUUUUAACCGCAGGGGCAGUUUUGGUAUUUCCGAAAUAUCUUUUCCUUCUUUCAUUCUUUAUUUAUUUUCAGGUUUCUGACUGUAGGGGUAUUUCCGUAAUUUUAUAUUAUUUUUAUAAAAUAUAUAUUUUUCACAAAUGAUUUUUCUAUAAAGAAAAAAGCAAUUUAAAUUCUUUUUCCCUUUAAAUAGUUUUUAACAAGUAACUAUACUNNNNNNNNNNNNNNNNNNNNNNNNNNNNNNNNNNNNNNNNNNNNNNNNNNNNNNNNNNNNNNNNNNNNNNNNNNNNNNNNNNNNNNNNNNNNNNNNNNNNNNNNNNNNNNNNNNNNNNNNNNNNNNNNNNNNNNNNUAGUGAUUUUUUUAUAAAAAAUUAUAAUACUUUAGUGAAAAGAUUUUAUCACUCUUUUUUAUCGACGGUUAGAUCACUAAAAUAUAAAAAUCUGAAAUUUAAUGGUUCUGAGUUGUCUUAAACAUCCUGAAACGCCUUUUUAUAUGGAUUUCAAACCUGCUCCUUUAACUGGCAGAAGACAGCAUAGACAACUUUUUCAUGCCUGCAUGCAAGAUAGAAUUCUGCAUGCGUUGCGACGAACUAUACUCUAUAUAUAUACUCGCGGGCUUAGCGUUUCAAUGAUAUAUAUAUCUUUCAACUGCAUUUUUGAAAAAUAUAACUAAUAUAAUUUCGUUUUCUGUUCCUAAAGAAAGAAAAAGAAUAAAAACCACCAGGAUUUCACAAUCAAACAAACAUAUGGACACAAGUAACUAACUACGCAUCUUAUAAAAAAAAGUUCACACAAACACUGUUAGGUAUGACCAAACAAUUUGGUGAUCGAUUUGGAAAUUUUUUGUUUAUAAAGCUUGUUAAUUUUCCCACUCCAGGGUUUAGGAAUGAGGUGAUUUUCAAAGCGAUCAAAUCCAAAUCGACCCGAUUGAUACUCUAGCUAGCUGCUGUAAUUUUGAAGUACAGCGACGGAAGACGAUGGUUACCGGUGGUGGAGCACGAUGGAUUGCGUUUUAAAUAGGCUUGGGGAUUAAACGUAAGCCAGGGAAAGGAAUGGUAAAAAUAAAAAUGACCUUUGUAAUUUGUUUUAUUAAGAGUAUAUUAGUUGUUCAGUUAAAAUACAAAUUGCGUAAUUAAAAUAAGAAUGGCAAAUAGUAAUAUCCAACUUCGUAGGUUGGACAAAAUUUAUGUGUUACUUUGUACUAGUAAUGUGUUUUAUUUGGGAUCAUACAACCAAUAUAAUUACAACUUCUGGACGAAGGUUCCAAGGUGUCUCAGACCCCCUUUUCAAUCUGAAUCCCUAUUUGACGCCCUACUAUUCGAAUUAAACGACGCCCUAAAUAAAGUAAAUUACGUUAUUAUCCAUUCGUAAAAUCAAAAUUUAUGUAAGAAGUUGUGUAUAUCGACGAACUAAAUACCGUCAAACACUAUCAAACACCCACAAAUGAAGAUCGGAAGUAAAAAUCGAAGAUCCGUCGAACCUCCAUUUAGAUAAAAUAUCGAGAAAAAAAAAA
rnacentral:lncRNA from 1 species